rnacentral:lncRNA from 1 species
UUGAAGCUUUAGAUAUCUCUUGGAAUCGGCUCACUGGAAAGAUUCCACAGGAAUUGACAAGAAUGAACUUUCUGGCCUUCUUAAACCUCUCUCAAAAUCAUCUCGUCGGACCAAUUCCUCAAGGUCCACAAUUCAACACAUUUGAAAAUGACUCAUAUGGUGGCAACCUUGAUUUAUGUGGUCUUCCUUUAACAAAGAAAUGUGGAAUGAGUGAUUCAUCGCAUGUUCCUCAACAGUUGGAGUCCGAAGAAGAAGGCGAGUCAUAUUUUUUUAGUGGAUUUACGUGGGAAUCAGUAGUCAUAGGCUACAGUUUUGGACUAGUUGUUGGAACUGUCAUGUGGAGUCUCAUGUUUAAAUAUCGUAAGCCAAAAUGGUUUGUGGAAUUUUUCUAUGGACUCAUGCCUCACAAAAGAAGAAGGCCAAAGAAGAGAGCUCAGAGAUGACAGACUUAAUGGAAGAUUGAGAGGGCCAACUUGUUUUUGAUUGAUUUUGUGGACUAAUUAGUGAACUUUUCUGGUUCUGUUUUUGUCUUUUCAAUUUUCUGUUUGUUAUUUGUAUAUGUUUGAUAGAAACAUAAUUAUAUAUGAGCCAUUUAAUUAGUAUCAAUGGUUAUUCAAGUUAUGUUUCUGUUUCAAGUUGACAUAAGUGAUCCACACAGCCACUUAUUAAUUAGCUAUGUUACUCGGACUUUUCAAAAAUGCCAACGGGUACUUGUUGGAUUCUUCAAAGUAUUGCAUUUCUCAAGGAACCAACACAGGUGUGACAUCAUUAUAUUUUAGGAGAGUUGGAGCAACAUAGCUCAUUAGUACAACAAAAAGGAAAAAGCAAAGCAGUAAGCAUAUAGAGUUUGGUUCAUGAUUGAAAUCACUUGAUAUUAGAAAGUUCAUAUAUUCAGCAUAACUGCAUGUCCAUUUUACAUUACAGUUCUUCUUAUACAAACUAGAAAAGAAAAUCUUGUGUUUACAGAAACUGAAAAUUGAUUUUCUAUAAUGUAAUACAUUUGCAUUGACCACACUACCCUUAUGUCACUGUGUUUUACAGGUUACCAAGUCUAAGAAAAAAAGUAAGAUUUUUUAAAUUUGUGAUUUUGAAUAUGACGUGCGAUUUUUGUGGCUAAUUAAUUACAUAUAUGCAUCAAAUCAUCUUUUAUUUGAAUAGCUUCGCCUUCUUAUAUGAACAAAUGACGCUUGCUCAAGUGGUUGAGCAUCUUCAUCAUUAGCCGGCAUACUAGAGAAUAAGUGGAAACACUAUGAAUCCUCCUAAAGUUGGGUCGGAACUCGAGGCUCAGUUAACCUUUUUUCUUUGUUGCUUAAUCUAAUACGAGAUUUUAUUAAUAAUAGAGUGCAAACUAGCUGUAAAGUAUCAACUUUGUCCCCAUUACGUUUUUUUCUACUACAAAAAAACUAGAAAAGUGAGAAGUGUUGUGGAAAAUUAUAGAAUGUACCUAACAUGUUUGAAAACAACUAAUCAGGAAUUUCUGAUAUUAUUUCUCUGCAAUCUUUAACAUUAAAUAUUGACCAAGUCAAGUAUCUCUGGUGGUGGAAUUAGAAUGUUGAGUUAGCUUUACUUUUAUUUCUUUCUUGUUUAAGAUCUUAUAUUUAUAAAAUAAGGCAACAUGUCCUAUCAUUAUUAUACUAAAUUUAUUUUUCUUCUUGUUUAAGAGCUUAUAUUUCUGUAAAGACUCUGUAUGUAAUAUUUUUCUUCUUUCUUUUGUUUUUCUCUUGAUUAGACUUUUUAAAUUUGAUUUUCUAUGAAUUUCUUAAUGUCGUAAGUUUUUGUUUGUGCUCAAAUUAGCCAUUUGUGAUUUAAUUGAAAGUGUUCUAACUACUAAUCAAAGUUUAAAAUUUAUAAUUAUUAGUGUGAAAGGAAUUAAUUUUAACAUUAAAAUAUGACCCUCAUUUGAUCACACUUUUAAGGAUUUAUUUAUAAUUAUUACAUUUUAUUACUCAAUACAUAUAUAUUUUCAUAUAAUUUUUAAUUGUUUUGAGAUGUAUAAAAAUUUAGAUGAAACACAUGUGCAACUCAGAAACUAGUAUAUAUACAUGGAUUUUGUAAGAAGAGAACAUCCAUCCUGUUAUUUGCUGAAAACAAACAAACAAAAAAUGGUCAUGAGUCUCUUUUUCUUUUAUUCAUUUCUCUGUUUUGUGUUGCUAAUAAGUGAAUGCUUUUCUUUUUCCUUUGAGCAUCAUCUUUGCUCUCCCACUGAAGCUUAUGCUUUGCUUCAGUUUAAGCAAUCCUUUAAAAUAUCUGAUUACUCUAGUUUUGAGUGUGAUACUUCUUUUCCAAAAACAAAUUCUUGGAAUGAGAGUAGGGAUUGCUGCAGUUGGGAUGGAGUCACUUGUAACUUAUUAAACGGUCAUGUUAUUGGGUUAGACCUUAGUUGUAGUCUGCUUGGUGGAAGUAUUCAUCCCAAUAGCAGCCUCUUCCAACUUCAUCAUCUCCACACACUAAACCUUGCUUACAAUGACUUCGAUUAUCCUUCUUCAAUCCCACAUAACAUUGGUCAAUUGACGAAUUUGAGGCAUCUCAACCUUUCUCAUUCUCACUUUGAUGGAAAAAUCCCAACAGAAAUCUCAUACCUUUCCAAUUUGGUUUCACUUGAUCUUUCUUCUUUUUAUGGUUAUGUUUUACAACUUGAUGAGAGAACAUUUGAAACAAUGCUUCACAACUUCACAAAUCUGGAGCUACUUUCUCUCUCUUUUGUCAACAUCUCAUCUCCGAUGCCUGUGAAUGUUUCUUCCUCCUUAAGGUACCUCGAUCUUGGUUAUACUAAUAUGCGAGGUGUUCUCACAGAGAGCUUUUUCCUUCUGUCAAACAGCUUGGAAACGCUCAAAUUAAGUGAUAAUGAUCUUCUCAAAGGAGUUUUUCCAAAGACCCACCCGAGCAACACUCUGUUAAUGGAGUUGGAUAUUUCAGGCACAGGCAUCUCCGGUGAGCUGCCUCAUUCAAUUGGCACCUUCAGUUCCUUGAAUAUCUUGAACCUCUAUGGAUGUCAAUUCUCUGGUUCCAUUCCUGAUUCCAUAGGAAACCUAACACAAAUUACGGAGUUGCUUUUAUCUUAUAAUCAUUUCACUGGCCAUAUUCCUUCCACAAUCUCUAAAUUGAAGCACCUCAGAAUUUUAUAUCUUUCUGACAAUUCCUUCUCAGGUGAAAUUCCUGAUGUUUUCUCUAACCUCCAAAAGCUAUACUAUUUAGAUCUUUCUGAAAACAGCUUCACUGGUCCAUUUCCUGCUUCAAUUUUAGGUUUGACACAUCUUGAAUACUUAGACAUGUCGAGUAAUUCCCUAUCUGGCCCACUACCUAGCAACCAAAGCAUGCUUCAAAAGCUAACUUCUGUGGAUUUGUCAUACAACUCACUGAAUGGUACCAUACCAUCUUGGGUGUUUCGCCUACCUUUGCUAUCUUCAGUGUCGCUCCAACAUAACCGAUUCAGAGGACUAGCCGAGGAAGUGAUCAAAACAAACCCAACAUUAAAACAACUGCUUUUAAGCAAUAAUCAACUCAGUGGUUCUUUUCCUCAAUCACUUGUGAAUCUCACAAACCUUGAAACCCUUGGAAUUUCAUCAAAUAACAUCACCAUUGAUGAGGGAAUGAAUAUCACCUUUCUUAGCCUAUCAUCUUUAUUCUUAUCAUCUUGUCAACUGAAGUAUUUUCCACACUUCUUGAGAAAUGUAAACACACUUGAGGGCUUGGAUAUUUCUAACAAUAAGAUUUGUGGUCAAAUCCCUAACUGGUUUAGCAGCAUGAGGUGGGACUCAUUGCUGUUCCUAAACCUUUCUCAUAAUUCAUUAACAGGCCACCUACCACAAUUUCAUUACUAUAACCUACCACAAUUUCUGUUUCAAGUUGACAGAAGUGAUCUACACAGCCGCUCAUUAGCUAUGUUACUCAAACUCUUCAAAAAUGUCAAUGGGUACGUGUUGGAUUCUUCAAAAGUAAUGCAAUUUUUAAGGAACCAACACAGGUGUCAUUAUAUUUUAGGAGAGUCGAAACAACAUAACUCAUAUUUCUUAACAUUUUCUGCUUCUACAUUUAUUGCUGUUAAAGAUCAUUGCUUGAAAUGGCUUAACUCAUACACACAGAGGAUAGCAACUAUUGAGCUGUUGACUGAAGUGUUCCAUUUAUUAAUACAACAAAACAGGAAAAGGCUACAUCCACCUCUGGGGCUCAUGUUGUUCUGUUUCUUCAAAUGCAAAACACUCUCUAUCAUGAUAUUCUUUAUUUUCAAGGUUCGAAUCUGAAACCCUUGGUUCAAUUUUACCUGGAACCAUUCAUUUAGCAUAACUAGAUGUCUUAUCGCAUUAUAGUUAUUAUACAAAGUGAAAAAAUUCAAGGGAUAAUAAGACCAUCUCAAAAAUCGGGUGUGUAACUGAAAAAUCUGACUCGACUUUAAGGGUAUACUUAGGGUGGUUCAAAAUCGAACCAUAACCGAUAGGCCAAUCGCAAAAUUGGCUUAUUUGUAUUGGAUUAUCGGAUUAACGGUUGAUCAACGAUUAAAAUUUUAUAGUUACGGUGCGGUGGCAGAUUACUCAAUUUCCUUAGGGAAAAUUACGCGGAAAAGCAAACAUAUACUAGUUAAUUAGCUAAUAUAGAUAUCACGACCCAAGUCUACACCCUGGAUGUGGCCGGCACUCAAGAACCAUUGUUGAUCCCCAAGCGAACCCUCAUCCUGACAGACUAACUUAAGCAUGCAAAAGCUUAAAAUUGAAAUUCAAUAAACUCAACUUUGUAAAACAUUAACUCAAAUGAACAACUUAGAAUAAAAAUAAUAUAUUCAACUCGCCAUAAAAUAGGCAACUUAAGUCUUUAAAACAUUUAAUAAAAUAAAUAAAUAAUACAGACUUUUCAACUAUACUGACUAUCUGUGAAGCCUCUAACUAAUAAAGAUAGAAGUCGAGACAAGACCCACGACAUCAUGACUAAACUAAAAAGUAAAUGAAAUCCUCCGGAAACAAGGAGGCUCACCAUAGCUAACUCGAACUCCCGGAUGUAUCAACGAAUCUCCUGUUAAUGAUCCUGAAUACAUAUGUCUGCAUCAUGAAAAGAUGCAAGCCAAAUGGCUCAGUACGUGGAAUGUACGAGCAUGUAAGGGGAAUUCUAAAACAUAAACAUAAGCUUGAAACUUGAUAAAAAGGAGACAUACUUUCCUCUUUUCAAACUUACUCAACUAAAGGAAUACUCAAGGACACUCAAAACUACUCAAACUUACUCAACUCAGAAGUACUCAAGGAUAAGAAACUCAACUAAGUAAUAAUUUUCUCAACUCAGUGAAACUCAACAAUAAGGUACUCGACACAAUGAANNNNNNNNNNNNNNNNNNNNNNNNNNNNNNNNNNNNNNNNNNNNNNNNNNNNNNNNNNNNNNNNNNNNNNNNNNNNNNNNNNNNNNNNNNNNNNNNNNNNNNNNNNNNNNNNNNNNNNNNNNNNNNNNNNNNNNNNNNNNNNNNNNNNNNNNNNNNNNNNNNNNNNNNNNNNNNNNNNNNNNNNNNNNNNNNNNNNNNNNNNNNNNNNNNNNNNNNNNNNNNNNNNNNNNNNNNNNNNNNNNNNNNNNNNNNNNNNNNNNNNNNNNNNNNNNNNNNNNNNNNNNNNNNNNNNNNNNNNNNNNNNNNNNNNNNNNNNNNNNNNNNNNNNNNNNNNNNNNNNNNNNNNNNNNNNNNNNNNNNNNNNNNNNNNNNNNNNNNNNNNNNNNNNNNNNNNNNNNNNNNNNNNNNNNNNNNNNNNNNNNNNNNNNNNNNNNNNNNNNNNNNNNNNNNNNNNNNNNNNNNNNNNNNNNNNNNNNNNNNNNNNNNNNNNNNNNNNNNNNNNNNNNNNNNNNNNNNNNNNNNNNNNNNNNNNNNNNNNNNNNNNNNNNNNNNNNNNNNNNNNNNNNNNNNNNNNNNNNNNNNNNNNNNNNNNNNNNNNNNNNNNNNNNNNNNNNNNNNNNNNNNNNNNNNNNNNNNNNNNNNNNNNNNNNNNNNNNNNNNNNNNNNNNNNNNNNNNNNNNNNAUGUGGAAUUAUGAGCAUGAACUACUCAACUCAAGACUGUUCGACUUAUAGGAUUCAUGCCAAAUUAUGGGCAUGAACACUUCAACUCAAGGACUUCAUGAGUAAUAUGAAAUAGUUCCAUGAUUAGAAAAUAUAAUCUCAAAGGGGAUUGGGAACUCAAUACUCAAGACUUAGAACUUAAAGAUAUUACCCCUCUCAAUGAUGCUCAAUUUAUGAAGUCUAUGCGGAAUUUAUGGGCAUGAACGACUCGACUAGAAGGUCUACAAACUACAUGGAAUUCAUGUAUAUGACACUUCUCAUUCUCUUACUUACCACCUCAAAACUUAGUUCAAAUCGAUAGUUGAUCUCAAAGGAUUCACAAUUGAACUCAAAGGCUUUCUUGAACUCUAUUCUUAACUUUCUCUUGAAUGUGAAUUAUGAAUUCAAGAGUUAUGGUUCAUGAUAUGAAGGAUAUCAUGAUGACAAAGUAUAUUCAUGAAUACAUUCUCCUCAUCCUCAUACUCACUUGCUCGAGUCUUGAAACAAGUUACUAGAAGUUGUAGAAAACUCCUCAAAAGAGCUCAAAGGGGCUUUCUGAGAAUGUUCGAAAGAAUUCUCAAAACUUAACUCUUAACUCUACCUUGAAUUUGAAUUAUGAAUUCAAGGUUAUGAUAAUGUUAGGAAUGAUUUUAGGUGUUUAGAAGUAUCUUAGAGUAGUUAGAAUCGAAAAGGAGUGAAUGUACCCUUCGAAAGAACUCAAACGAAGCAACCGAUUGCAAACUGGACGGGGCAGGAGACCCUGGGGCUAUGGGUGGCGCGGGGAGCCAGCCCCUAAACUUCAGAGCAUACUUUGGGGCGCUCUGGUUGGCGCUACGCGCCAGGACCCAACCCAGAAGACCCGACGAAAUUCUUUGCUAGUUUUCUCACCCUAUUUCGCUUAGAAUCGAGCGGUUUCUUCCCCAAUCACUUGGAUUCGAUUAUUUAACAUAAGUACACUCUAAUAUAUUCAAUACAGCCCUAAAAACACUCACAUUAAUCUCAAGAAAUCAUCAAAACUUCAACAAAACAAGAUUUAAAAUGAACUUCAAGAACACCUAACAAGAAAUCAUCAAGAACUCUAAUCCUUCAACUUUAAGAACAAAAUUGCGCUGAAAACAACAUGAUUGGCGUGUUGGUGAACAAAUCCAACACUAUGGAAGCUUACAUACCUCUUAGGGAUUAAACCCAUGGCGAAAAUCCGCAACAAAAUGCAAGACUCUCGACGAACGCUUUGAUCAUCUCCUCUUUUCUCCUCUUUUCUCUUCUUGAACUCUCAACUAAAACUCUAGGCUAAUUUUAGGAUUAUAAAACUGAACCUAAUAGGAUUAGACCCUUAAAACCUUACUAAAAAUGAAUUAAAUCCGAUUUGGUAAGGAAAAGACUAAAAUACCCCUCUAAAAUCCGGUUUUGACUUUCCUUAUCUAGACAACCCAACUUCGAAUGCACAUAUCUCCCUCAUACCAACUCAAAAACUGAGAAAACUCGGUGGCGUUGGAAAGAUAAUUCAAAGAUCUUUCCUACGGUAUCUGGUAGCACACCUAAAUCAUUCUGAGAUAGGAGUUAUGGUCGUUUGAAGUCAACCCAAAACUCAUACUUAGCUUAACUUGCAAAAUUUCAAAUAUUUGUUAUUUCCAAUUUAGUUCUUUUUGAUACUCAGGUGCUACAUCUAGUGACCUGACCUUAACACUUAAGAAAUUUUAAAUUCCUUAGUAAAAUCCUACUCACAACGAAGGACGGUUCAAGUCUUAGCUCAAAAUUUUUCUGGGGUGUUACAAUAGCUAUAGUUUGAAUUAAUUACGGCUCGCAACUUAAUUUUAGCUUUAAUUACGCCACUUGUCCUCUUUUAUACAUAUACAAAUACAAAUUAUACACAUAUAUACUCUUAUCGUAUCAUUGACUAAUGAGUAAUUUCUUAACAAGAAACCUUAAUGAUACCAAUAAAGUAUAUAUAUACUGAUUUAGUAUCAAUUUAGCGAAAUUAUCAGCCUUAAUGAUAUCAAUACAGUAUAUGAUAUUGAUUUAGUAUCAGUUAAGCGAAAUUAUCAACCUUAAUGAUACAAAUACAGUAUAUGAUACCGAUUUAGUAUCAGUUAAGCGAAAUUAGUAAGAGGGUAUAUAGUGUAAUUAUUUAGUGGGGUAUGAAUGUAAUGCGGUAUAUGUUUGUAAUUAUUUUGCUUUUAUGGGGUAUUUGCUUAUUUUCCCCUUUUCAUAAAUCUAACUUGAGGUGGGCUGAGUUCUAUUAAAUGUCGGUUGGGCUUGUUUUGCAAUUUCUAAAAGCCCAUUAAGUUUUGGCAUCUAUAUAUAUUUGGGUCAUUCACCAUGAAGUUAAGGAUUAAAAAAAUUUCUUUCCAUAUGACAUUCAUAUUUAAACGAAUUUAAAUUAUAUAUACCAACAAUAUAAAGUCUACAAUCAGUAUAAUUUAACGUGUUCUAGUUAGCAUGUUGUUUACCUUGAUUUGCAGGUUAUUAAUUUCACUUAUAAUGAAGAGUCAUGAUCUAUAGUUACUUUUAGACGAGUUGACAGUAAGAAAAUUUCUUUAAAGCUCUAGCAUACAAUUUUUCGAGAAACAAAAAAUAUAACAAAUGGAGAUAAGCCUAAAAUACCUUCGAACUAUUGGAAACGGAGGUACACACCACUCUCUUCAGACCCCACUUGUGAAAUUACACUAGGUAUGUUACGUUGUUACUCUGUUUCACUUACAAAACACUUUUGCAAAAUAUCAUAUUUUUCUUUUUUUUCCCAUCAGUAGUCUUUGUGGAAAUUGGGUUAGACUUUGGUGGAAUAUUGAUGGAGUUCUAACAAGUCUUGUGGUAAUUUAUUGAGAAGUUUGUAAAACAGACUAAUCAAUUACUUGGAAUGAUCUUCACAAAAUUAUUCAAAACAUACUAACUAAUUAAGCAGGAAAACACAUAUCAAACAAAAUUUUAAAUAAAAUUCCACACGGUAUUGGAAAUUUGUCACAAAAUUCUGCAGAAAUAUUUUCUACCGUGAGUGUUACGUAACGAGACCAAUUAAUUCACAUCAUCUUGCAUAACACACGCUGCAGAGAUAUAUAGUCGAUGACCUUGAAAUGAAUAACAACAUCUAGAGAAAAUGAGGACAUAGGGAGUAUUAUUUUGUUAAGUCUUCUUCGUGCUCUGAAAAGUCUUGUGGAACACUAUAAAAUAAUGUGUAACACGUUGUUAGAAGUGACUAGUACUCAUUCAUGGACCACAAAUGACUGAAAAUUGACUUAACACUUGGGACAACUUUUUAGUAACCACAAAUUAUUACCCCAUUUUAUUUGUCUGGAUGUGUUUCUUUUCUUCGUUAAUUUAUAAUUGAUAGUCCCGUGCAUAAACAAGUCAACAACGCUGCUUUAUGAAUUACUGUUUAGUUAAUUGUUCACUUUAUUUAAUGUGGAGGUCGUUGUAAUAAUUAAGAAUUGGAAUAGUGUUUGGUUAAUUAUAGUGCAUCCUUUCUUAUGUGGCUACUUAUUUUAUUGACUUAUACAUGUCUUGACAAUUAUCAUGAACCCACAUCAUUAUUUUUACGUUUACCUUUUUUAUUCUUUCAUUAUUAAAUAUUCUAAAGUCUACCAAAUGGUAAAACCUUUUACAUUAUACAAAAUAUAUUGUUGGGUGUUAAUAAAAAGAUCAAUUUGUUUUUUGGUGUAUUCUUUAAAUUACAAGCACUACAACAAAAACAACUUUUAGCGGCAAUAAAUAUACACAUUAAUAAAGAGUGUUAAAGUUUUUACCAGCAUUGGUUAAGUAUCAUUAGAUUCAAUGUCGCUAAAAACUUUAGAGACAUACACAAAGAGGGUUAAUUGCCACUAAAAAUACAUUAUAUCAUUAUAUCAAAUUCAACACAACUAUUUCAAUAUCAUUAUAUAAACUUCUUAAAGUUUUGAGUAGGAUUUUAUUAUUCUAACUUUAUAUUAUAUCUUUUCAUUGAAAAUUUUCGUUGUUUGUAUUCUUACUUAAUAAAGGUUUGUGUACCUCCUACUUCCUUGAAACUCUACGCAGUAUGUUAUAAGUAUUUUAAUUUAUGUAUGACAACUAAAAAAAUAAUUAGAGGGCCUUGCCUGUAUGUUUUCAUAGAAUUUUGAUUAUUCUUACAAAUCUAUAAAAAAAUUACAAAGGACACUUAGAAAGUAGUAUAUAUAUGUGUGGAUAAUACUGAUUGAUUUGUAAGAACACAUCCAUCCUGUUAUUUGCUGAAAACAAACAAACAAAAAAUGGUGACUCUGUUUUUCUUUUAUUCAUUUCAGUGUUUUGUGUUGCUAAUAAGUGAAUGUUUUUCUUCAUCCUUUGAUCAUCGUCUUUGCUCUCCCACUGAAGCUUCUGCUUUGCUUCAGUUCAAACAAUCCUUUCAAAAUAUGUCCAGAGAGUCCUGUAAUUAUUCGUGUCAUGGAGAUUGUUUCCCAAUAACAAAGUCUUGGAAUGAGAGUAGGGAUUGCUGCACUUGGGAUGGAGUCACUUGUGACAUGUUAAACGGUCAUGUUAUCGCCCUGGACCUUAGUUGCAGUCAGCUUGUUGGCAAUUUUCAUCCCAACAGCAGCCUCUUCCAACUUCAUCAUCUCCAGACACUAAACCUUGCUUACAAUGACUUCAAUUGGUCUUCAAUCCCACAUAACAUUGGCCGAUUGACGAAUUUGAGGCAUCUCAACCUUUCAUGGUCUCACUUUAGUGGAAAAAUCCCAACAGAAAUCUCAUACCUUUACAAUUUGGUUUCACUUGAUCUUUCUGUGAUUGGAUUCCAACUUGAUGAGACAACAUUUGUAACAAUGCUUCACAACUUCACAAAUCUGGAGGUACUUUCUCUUUAUGGUGUCAACAUCUCAUCUCCGCUACCUGUGAACAUUUCUUCCUCCUUAAGGUACGUGGAUCUUGAAUAUACUAAUCUGCUAGGUGUUCUCACAGAGAGCUUUUUCCUUCUGCCAAACAGCUUGGAAACGCUCAAAUUGAGUGGGAAUGAUCUUCUCAAAGGAGUUUUUCCAAAGAUCCACCCGAGCAACACUCUGUUAAUGGAGUUGGAUAUUUCAUCCACAGGCAUCUCUGGUGAGCUGCCUCAUUCAAUUGGCACCUUCAGUUCCUUGAAUAUCUUGAACCUCGAACAAUGUCAAUUCUCUGGUUCCAUUCCUGAUUCCAUAGGCAACCUAACACAAAUUACGGAGUUGAUUUACUUGGGAAUCAGUAGUCAUAGGCUACACUUUUGGACUAGUUGUUGGAACUGUCAUGUGGAGUCUCAUGUUUAAAUAUCGUAAGCCAAAAUGGUUUGUGGAAUUUUUUGAUGGACUCAUGCCUCACAAAAGAAGAAGGCCAAAGAGAAGAGCUCAAAGACGACGGACUUAAUGGAAGAUUGAGAGGGCAACCUUGUCUUUGUUUGAUUUUGUGGACUAAUUACUGAACUUUUCUGGUUCUGUUUUUGUCUUUUUAAUUUUCUGUUUGUUGUUUGUAUAUGUUUGAAAGAAACAUAAUUAUAUGUGAGUCAUUUAAUUAGUAUCAAUGGUUAUUCAAGUUAUGUUAGUUUGUUUCUGUUUCAAGUUGAUAGAAGUGAUCUACACAGCCGCUCAUUAGCUAUGUUACUCAAACUCUUCAAAAUGUCAACGGGUACGUGUUGAAUUCUUCAAAAGUAGUACAAUUUUAAGGAACCAACAUUGGUGUCAUUAUAUUUUAGGAGAGUCGGAGCAACAUAACUCAUCAGCAUAACAAAACAGGAAAAAGCAAAGCAGUAAGCAAAUUGAUCAGUUUGGUUUAUGAUUGAAAUCACUUGAUAUUAGAAAGUUUAUAUUUUUGAAAAUUAAUGUAGAAGAGUAAUCAAAACUACAGAAUUGGCUAAUAAUUUUGUGGUUCUGCAUCUUUCUAAUCAUAAAUCAGCCAUAAAAUAUUCUCUAGCUCAGUUUCAACUUCCGCGAUUUUAAUUUUAGUAAGUUUUUACAUAUAUUUAUACUUCGUGGACGAAAGUUAUCUCUGGUUGUUCAACAACUAAUUCAUAUUGUUUGAUUAUCAAUGAAGGAAAGGUUUUUUUAAAGGGCAAAACGCUCUAUACGAGGAUUUUUUAUUAUUUUUCAAGUUUGAAUUCAAGACCUGUGAUUCAGUUUCAUCCGGAACUUUACUGUCUACAAAACUACAUGUCAAAGUUAUUUUUGAUGAACUAAAAUAGACUUAUUCCCAAAAUUUAAUUUAACGCAAAAAGAAAUAUAAUCAAAUUAUUUAAAAAUUAAGAAAGACAAAUUAAAACCUUUACAUAAUUUGACACAUGGCAAAAUAUAAUUGGCUAAAAUUUUGGUCCCACAAAUAGUCAACUCACCUGUCAAAAAAUGACAUUCCUAUUUUCUUUUCCUAAUUUUAGUUUGGACACUUUGAAAACAAUUAAAGUAUCUUUGUCUGGUUAUGGCCGUUCAAAGCUUUGAUUAUAACAAGAAAGAUGAUUGAAAAUAUCGGUUUUCUUCCUUUUAAUUGGUUUGUUUUAUUAUUUUUUUGAAAUUUAAUUUAUUUAUCGUACUUUAUACUUAAAUUUGUCUCAAAAAGAAUAAUACGUUUCACAUAUAUAUAUAUAUAUAUAUUUAAGACUAUAACAUUAAAAGAUAUUUUGAUAUGUUUUUUAUAUAACUUUAAUUUAAUAUUAUAUCAUUGAAAAUUCUUCUUUACUUAUAUAUUUUUUUUAUUUUGAAUUUUUAUAUUUCAAUAUUCCACGUGACACGUUAAAAAGUCACUUUAGUAGUAUAAGAUUCAAAAGAUUUUUUUUUCACUUUGUUAAACUUAUAUCAAGUCGAUAGAAACUAGACAAACAAAUUAAAACGAAGUCACACUUUUCAAUACAUAUUCCAACUUUCAUUGAGUCUGAAGAUAUACUUUCUGAUUUAUUUAUUUUCAAGAAUUUACCUGUUGGAAGAACCCCACCAGAAGAAAACUCCAAAAAACAGACUAAAAAUCCCAACUUUGAGUUUUUCUUUCAACAAUUAUAAGUUUCAGUGAAAAUCUCAAGAUGUAAUUUUUUUCAAGAAUUCAUCUUUUAGGAAAACCCCAUAAGAAGAAAACUCCAAAAACAGAUUCAAAAUCUCACCUUUUUUUUAGAUCUUUUCAACAUUUUUCAGUUUAUUAGCUUACAAAAAUCACUGAACAAGGAAGAAGGGAUUCAAGAAAAAGUGGAAUAAAAAUGUCAUUUGUUUUAGGGGUUGUGUUUGGAAUAGCAUUUGGACUUGCUAUAAUAGUUGCUUUUGUGAAAUCUGAAAAUGCUAGAUCCAAACAACGUACUGAUCUGGUUAGUCAACUAAAGUCUUUGUUUUUUUUGGAUCUUUAUUUUUUUCCAUUUCUGGGUUUUUUUUUUGUAUUUAUGUUGUUUUUUUGGUUGAAUUGUAAAGGCUAGUGGAAUUGCUGCAUUUGCUAGAAUGACAGUGGAAGAUUCAAGAAAAAUCUUUACACCAGAACAAUACCCUUCUUGGGUUGUUUUCUCAAAUCAACAAAAGGUGAAGUCGUUUAACUUUUCUUUAAGAUGUAUUUGGUAGGACGCAGAGGCGGAGUCAGAAUUUUUAGUUUAUAUGGGUUCUAGACCACUGUUCUUUUUGUUUUGUUGGGUUUCUGAAAGCUAUGUUGCUCGGACUCUCAGAAAAUGUUGUUUGUACCCAUUCUGGAUUCUCUAAAGUUGCACUAGUUUGGAGUAUACGACACUAACCAUCAACCGUAACCAUUUUUGAAGAGUCCGAACAACAUUGACUGAAAAGACUAUUUUUACAUCUUAUAACAUUAAUAUAGGGUUAAACCAAAGCUACUGGAUUUUGAUGUACUUGUAGCUAAAGCAAUGUCAUUUAUCAUAAAUCUGUAAACUGACUUAUUUUCUAGAAAAUGUUUUUCGUAAUGGAUUUUUUUUUCUGGGAAAAGACAUUUAAUCGGAUAGUGUUUGGUGAAAAUAUUUGAGUAGUAAAGAUUGAUAAUAAUGUUUAUAUGUUGAGAUAAUUGUUUGCUCCUUUUUGGUGGAAAAUGUUUUCGCAAAACAUAUGUUCUAGCAGCCAAAAUCAGAAAAAAGAGAUUACAAACACACCGUUGAUGUCCUUAUCUGUUUUUGGAGCACAUAGUGACCAUAUAAGAUCAUUGAGAUUAAAUUCAUGCAUUAUGGUUCAAAUUGUGGUCUUUGGUUGCAAGACUGUCCCUUUAUGGACUUUGUUUAAUUUCUAUCUAGAAUACAUCUUGUGAUUUAGUUUGUUGAGGGCAAAAAAUGACCUUUUGAAUUUUUCAAUUUUGUUCUUACAGUUGGCAUGGCCAGAUGUUGUGAUUUAGUCAACUAAAGUUUUUGUUUUUUCUUACUUCAAUUUUUUUGGAUUUUUAGUUUUUUCCAUUUUUGGGGUUUUCUGUAUUUAUGUUGUUUUUUUGGUUGAAUUGUUAAGGCUAGUGGAAUUGCUGCAUUUGCUAGAAGGACAGUGGAAGAUUCAAGAAAAAUCUUCACACCAGAACAAAUACCCUUCUUGGGUUGUUUUCUCAAAUCAGCAAAAGAUGAAGUCUUUAACUUUUCUUUAGGAUGUAUUUGGUAGGACGUAGUGGCUGAGUCAGAAUUUUUAGUUUAUAUGGGUUCUAGACCAUUGGUUCUUUUUUGCUUUGUUGGGUUUCUGAAAAUUAUGUUGUUCGGACUCUCAAAAAAUGUUGUUUGUACCCGUGUCGGAUUCUCUAAAGUUGCACUAGUUUGGAGUAUACGCCAGUAACCCAUCACCCAUCACCAUUUUUGAAGAGUCCGAGCAACAUUGACUGAAAAGACUAUUUAUACAUCUUAACAUUAAUAUAGGGUUAAACCAAAGCUACUGGAUUUUGCCGUACUUGUAGCUAAAGCAAUGUCAUUUAUCAUAAAUCUGUAAAAUGACUUAUUUUCUGGAAAAUGUUUUUCGUGAUGGAUUUUUUUCUGGGAAAAGACAUUUAUUGUAGAUUGAAUCAGCAAAUUGGAUAGUGUUUUGGUGAAAAAUAUGUGAGUAGUAAAGAUUGAUAAUAAUGUCUAUAUGUUGAGAUAAUUGUUGUUCCUUUUUGAUGGAAAAUAAGAUUUUACCAAACACACUGUUGAUGUCCUUUACUGUUUUUGAGCACAUAGUGACCAUAUAAGAUCAUUGAGAUUAAAUUAGUGCAUUAUGGUUCAAAUUGUGGUCUUUGGUUGCAAGACUGUCCCUUUAUGGACUUUGUUUAAUUUCUAUCUAGAAUACAUCUUGUGAUUUAGUUUGUUGAGGGCAAAAAAUGACCUUUUGAAUUUUUCAAUUUUGUUCUUACAGUUGGCAUGGCUUAAUUCUCAUCUUGAAUAGAUCUGGCCAUAUGUGGAUGAGGUUAGGGGUUCAAUGUCUAUACAUAGUUUAGUUUUCCACUCUAUUGCGAUUCUGCAAUUUUUCAUUUCCCCCUUUUUUUGGUUCUAAUUUAUGAUUGUUUGAACUUCUUUGUUGCUAAUUGAGUCGGUAUGGGUAUAUAUGGUAAUUCAGGCAGCAUCAGAACUAGUAAAGUCAAGUGUGGAGCCAGUUUUGGAACAAUAUAGGCCUGUGAUUUUGGCGUCGUUAAAAUUUUCAAAGUUCACUCUUGAUACAGUUGCUCCACAAUUCACAGGUUAGUAGAUUAUGGCUGGUGUAACCUGCCUCAAAGCUCUUGUAUAUUGUACUACCUAAAAGUUUUAGGAGUCACUUAUACAUAUGAACAAACUUAUCAGUCCUCUAGGUCUUUAUGGCAUGCUUAUGUCUGGAGUAGCGUAACAUUUCCCUGCACGGACACCACCACCAUCAAAAAAAAAAAACGGCAUAACAUUUUCUUGCCAUUUAUAGCCUCUUGAGAUGUCAAAAUGUGACAAAUAAUUUGAGACAGGCAAGGGUAUAAAAGAUAUUCAAACCUCAAAGAGCAAUCCUAUCAUCUCGUGUCAGUUAAUCCUUAAUAAAAGAAACUGCUUGUGAGGAUGAAUCUCACUACAUUUAACAAAUGCUUGAUCUCAUGUAUAUGCCACUGCAGGGAUUUCUAUUAUUGAAGAUGGAAGUGAGGGUAUUACUAUGGAAUUAGAGAUGCAAUGGGAUGGUACCAUACCAUCUUGGGUGUUUAGCCUACCUUUGCUAUCUUCAGUGUCGCUCCAACAUAACCGAUUCAGAGGUCUAGCUGAUGAAGUGAUCAAAACCGCUCCAACAUAACCGAUUCGGAGGACUAGCCGAUGAAGUGAUCAAAACAAACCCAACAUUAAAACAACUGCAUUUAAGCAAUAAUCAACUCAGUGGUUCUUUUCCUCAAUCACUUGUGAAUCUCACAAACCUUAAAACCCUUGGACUUUCAUCAAAUAACAUCACCAUUGAUGAGGGAAUGAAUAUCACCUUUCUUAGCCCAUCAUCUUUAUUCUUAUCAUCUUGUCAACUGAAGGAUUUUCCACACUUCUUGAGAAAUGUAAAGACACUUGUGUACUUGGAUAUUUCUAACAAUAUGAUUCGUGGUCAAAUUUCUGACUGGUUUAGCGGCAUGAGGUGGGACAACUUGUGGUACCUAAAUAUUUCACAUAAUCUUUUGACAGGUUACCUACCACAAUUGCAUUUCCAUAAUCUAGGGUAUCUUGAUCUGAAAUUUAACUCCCUUCUGGGUCCACUACCCUCAUCCAUUUGUAACAUGAGUUCGCUUAUCUUAUUAGAUUUAUCACGCAACAACUUCAGUAACUACAGUUUCGUAUGAGGAUUCAUUGAGUUUGGUAAUCAAAGGGCAGGAUAUUGAGCUACAAAGAAUCAACACAAUUAUGACAACCAUAGAUCUCUCAAGCAAUCAUUUUGAAGGUGUGAUUCCGAAAACACUAAAGGAUCUCAGCUCACUUUGGCUACUCAAUUUAUCCCAUAACAAUCUCAUAGGUCAUAUUCCAAUGGAACUAGGGCAAUUGAAUACGCUUGAAGCUUUAGAUCUCUCUUGGAAUUGGCUCACUGGAAAUAUUCUGCAGGAACUGACAAGAAUGAACUUUCUGGCCUUCUUAAACGUCUCUCAAAAUCAUCUUGUCGGACCAAUUCCUCACGGUCUACAGUUCAACACAUUCGAAAAUUAUUCGUAUGGCGGAAACCUUGAUUUAUGUGGUCUUCCUUUAUCAAAGCAAUGUGGAACGAGUGAUUCAUCACAUGUUCCUCAACCAUUGGAGUCCGCAGAAGAAGGCGAGUCAUAUUUUUUUAGUGGAUUUUCUUGGGAAUUAGUAGUAAUAGGCUACAGUUUUGGACUUGUCGUUGGAACUGUCAUGUGGAGCCUCAUGUUUAAAUAUCGUAAGUCAAAGUGGUUUGUGGAAUUUUUUGAUGGACUCAUGCCUCACAAAAGAAGAAGGCCAAAGAAGAGAGCUCAGAGACGAAGGACUUAAUGGAAGCUUGAGAGGGCUAAAUUGUCUUUGUUUGAUUUUGUGGACUAGUGAACUGUUCUGUUUUUGUCUUUUUUUAAUUUUCUAUUUGUUGUUUGUAUAUGUUAGAAACAUAAUUAUAUGUGUGUUAUUGUAGUAUUCAAUUUAUGUUAGUUUGUUUCUGUUUCAAAUUGACAGAAGUGAUCUACACAGCAACUCUAGCUAUGUUACUUAGAUUUUUCAAAAAUGUCAACGGGUACGUGUUGGAUUCUUCAAAAGUUGUGUAUUUAUUAAGGAACCAACAUGAGCAGUGGCGGAUCCAGGAUUUUCAUUAAGGGGUUCGAAAAAAAGAGAGCAGUGCUUAAGAUUUGAGGUUUGAACCCCUCAACCACUAAACUAACCUCUAAUCUUAUAUUCAGGAGGUUCAAAAUCAAUAUAUAAACAUAAAAAUUCUUUAAAAUACCUUAAAUAUACAACAUAAUUUUUUGCCGAGGGAGUUGGUCCACCCCUGAACAUGGGUGCGACAUCAUCAUAUUUUAGGAGAGUCCGAGCAACAUAGCUCAUUAAUACAACAAAAUUGGAUAAAGCAGUGCAGUAAGCAUAUAGAGUUUGGUUCAUGAUUGAAAUUAGUUGAUAUUAGAAAGUUUAUAUUUGUGAAAAUUGAUGUAGAAGAAUGCUCAAAACUACAGAAGUGGCUAAUAAUUUUGUGGUACUUCAUCUUUCUAGUCAUAAAACAUCCUUAAAAUGUUCUCUAACUCAGUUUCAACUUCUGCAAUUUUUAUUUUGGUAGAUUUUUACAUAUAUUUAUACUUCAUGACGAGUGUUAUGUCUCACGUGAUCCAACAACUAAUUCAUACUGCUUGAUUAUGAAUGAGGAAAUUUUUUUGUUUUUGGGAAAAAUGCUCUCUGGAAUCGGCUCACUGGAAAGAUUCCAAGGGAACUGACAAGACUAAAAUUCCUGGCAGUCUAAAAACUCUGUCUGAAUGUUCUUUUUAGACCGAUUGCAUGCUCCUCGUCCAUUGGAGUCCGAAGAAGAAGAAGAAGAAGAGAGUCGUAUUUUGCUAGUUGUGGAUUAAUUGUUGUAACUGUCAUGUGGCACCUCAUGUUUAAAGAUGGUAAGCUGAACAUGUGAUCCUUCAAUACAAUUAGUCUCUCAGUUUUUUUUGCUUGAGUAUCAUUUUUUUUAUCUUCUUAAUUUGAUCACUAUACCUUUAUCUUGAGUCGAGGGUCUACAGAAACAACAUCUCCACUACUUUGGUUAUUUUCCAUCUCUUCAUAUUUGAACUGUAUCAUAUAGAUGGAAUUUCCCUCAUUAACUUAAUGUUAAAAAUCUUUUGGAAAACAGCACAAGAGACAACUAAUCGGAAAUUUCUCUACAGGUGGAAGGAUCUUCACCAAGUUAUUCAGAACAUACUAAUUAAGCAGGAAAACACAGAUCAAACAAAAUUUUGUAUAAAAUUCCACAAGGAGGAAAUGAAGGACUUAAAUCAUGUCUUUAAUUAUUGUUCAUUUUUUUCCUCACUUGACUUAGUCAAGCAAUAGUUUCUACCAUUUGAAAUUUCUAAGAAGUUCUGCAGAAAUUUUUUCUACAUAAUGGGACCAAUUUCACAUUAUCUUGCGUAACACACUGCAGAGAUAGUUAAUGACUUUGAAAUGAACACAACAUCAAGAGAAAAAUAGGACAUAGAGAGUAUUAUUUUGUUAAGUCUUCUCCGUCCUCUAAAAAGUCUUGUGGAACACUACAAAAUAUGAGUAUCAAGUUGUUAGAAGUGAGUAGUACUCAUCUUGUAAUUCAAUUGUUCAUCAGUCCCGAUUCAUCAUAAUCUUUUUUUUUCCUCUAGUCUUUGUGGAAAUUGGCUUAAAGUCUUACAAGUCAUCGUCCGCUAGUUACAAUACUGUAUCACUUUUUUCCUUAGUUGGAAUGGAAUAUUGAUGGAUUUUCCCUUAUUUACUUAAUGUGAAAAUUAUUGUGUACCUAACAAGUUUGAAAAUAGCAGAAGAGACAACUAAUCACUCACUCGGAUUGACCUUUUCUGAUUGUAUAGAUUUCAUGGAAAAAUUGCACCAAAAUUUAUUUAAUCCUCAAUUGACUUGGUCAUGCAACAGUUUCUCUUUGAAAAGUAUUGUGGAAAACAGAAGAGAUGUUGAUGGAAAGUUGGACAAGGUUGACAUAAAACAGGAGUUCAAAUAACUAUAAAAUAUGUAUGGAUUUUGAAAAAACAGAACAUUCUGUAAUAUGCUGUAAACAAAAAGUAAUUCCCGUGACCAGUUCAGUUCAAGGUUGGUCACGGGAGGGUUGAAUAAAAAUCACUUGAAAGUUGUUAAGGGGGUAUUUAAAUGUUCAUGUAGUUUAAGUCCUAAAGUAAAUUUGGCUAUCAAGUUUGAGGGUGAUUUUAGGAUUUUUCUCAAAAGUUAGCAGUCAAAUUGAAAAAAGUGUUCAAAUUGGGAAAAUAUGUAAAAAUUGUUAUUUUCCAUCUCUUCCUAUUUGAACUGUAUCAUAUAGAUGGAAUUUCCCUCAUUAACUUAAUGUGAAAAGUCUUCAGCACAAGAGACAACUAAUCGGAAAUUUCUCAUAAAAUUUCUCUGCAGGUGGAAUGAUCUUCACCAAGUUAUUCAAAACAUACUAAGCAAGCAGGAAAUGAAGGACUUAAAUCAUGUCUUUAAUUAUUGUUCAGUUUUUUCCUCACUUGACUUAGUCAAGCAAUAGUUUCUACCAUUUGAAAUUUCUAAGAAGUUCUGCAGAAAUUUUUUCUACAUAAUAGGACCAAUUUCACAUCAUCUUGUGUAACACACACUAUAGAGAUAGUUAAUGACUUCGAAAUGAACACAACAUCUAGAGAAAAUGAGGACAUAUGGAGUAUUAUUUUGUUAAGUCUUCUCCGUCCUCUAACAAGUCUUGUGGAACACUACAAAAUAUGAGUAACAAGUUGUUAGAAGUGACUAGUACUCAUUUUUGAUUCAAUUGUUCAUCAGUCCCGAUUCAUCAUAAUCUUUUCCCCCCCUCUAGUCUUUGAGGAAAUUAUCUUAAAGGCUUACAAGUCAUCGUCUGCUAGUUACAGUACCGUAUCCCUUUUUUCCUUAGGUGGAAUGGAAUAUUGAUGGAUUGUCCCUUAUUAACUUAAUGUGAAAAUUAUUGUGUACCUAACAAGUUUGAAAAUAGCAGAAGAGACAACUAAUCACUGACUCGGAAUAUUGACCUUUUAUGAUUGUAUAAAUUCCAUGGAAAAAUUGCAUAAAAAAUUAUUGCAUUCUUUGUGGAAAUUGUCUUAUUAAAGACUUUGGCUUCAAAGAACAAAAUAAAAUUCCACACGGUAUUAUUGUUUUGUUGUUACAUACUCUUAAGUUGAUGUCUUUAAUUAUUCUUCAUUUUUUUUCCUCACUUCAUGACUUAGUCAAGCAAUAGUUUCUCUCAUUGGAAAUUUUUCACAACUUAUGCAGAAAUAUUUUCUACUGUGAGUGUUACGUAACUUGACCAAUUUCACAUCAUCUUGCGUAACACACACCGUAGAGAUAGUCGAUCGAUGAUCUCGAAAUGAACAACAACAUCUAGGGAAAAUGAUGUGUACCAAGUCGUUAGAAGUGACUAGUACUCAUUCAUGGACCAUAUGUGACUGAAAAUUGACUUUACACUUGGGACAACAUUUUUUGCAACCACAAAUUAUUACCCCAUUUAUUUAAUUAUCUAUGUGUUUCUUUUCUUUCGUUAAUUUAUACCUCAAUAGUCCCAUGCAUAGACAAGUCAACAACGUUACUUUAUGAAAUAUUGUUUAGUUAAUUGUUUACUUUAUUUAAUGUGGAGGUUGUUGUAAUAAUUAAGAAAUGGAAUAGUGUUUAGUUACUUAUAGCAUCCUUUCCUACAUGGCUACUUAUUUUAUUGACUUAUUUAUAUCUUGGCAAUUAUCAUGAAUUUUGAUAAUGCAUGUUUUCAUUGAACACGGGUGCAACUUAGAAAGUAGUAUAUAUAUGUGUGGAUAAUACUGAUUGAUUUGUAAGAAGAACACAUCCAUCCUGUUAUUUGCUGAAAACAAACAAACAAAAAAUGGUCAUGAGUCUGUUUUUCUUUCAUUCAUUUCUGUAUUUUGUGUUGCUAAUAAGUAUGUUUUUCUUCUUCCUUUGAUCAUCAUCUUUGCUCUCCCACCGAAGCUUCUGCUUUGCUUCAGUUUAAGCAAUCUUUUGGAGUUGAUUACAACUACUCCAAAUGUUUUACUUCUUUCCCAAAAAGAAAGUCUUGGAAUGAGAGUAGGGAUUGCUGCAGUUGGGAUGGAGUCACUUGUGACUUAUUAAACGGUCAUGUUAUCGGGUUAGACCUUAGUUGUAGUCUGCUUAGUGGAAGUAUUCAUCCCAAUAGCACCCUCUUCCAACUUCAUCAUCUCCAGGCACUAAACCUUGCUUACAAUCACUUCAGCUAUUCUUCAAUCCCACAUAACAUUGGCCGAUUGACAAAUUUGGUUUCGCUUGAUCUUUCUUCUGAUUUUUAUGGACUACAACUUGAUGAGAGAACAUUUGAAACAAUGCUUCAAAACUUGACAAAUCUGGAAGUACUAUCUCUCUUUCUUGUCAACAUCUCAUCUCCGAUGCCUGUGAAUAUUUCUUCCUCUUUAAGGUACCUGGAUCUUCGUUAUACUAAUCUGCGAGGUGUUCUAACAGAGAGCUUUUUCCUUCUGCCAAACAGCUUGGAAACGCUCAAACUGAGUGGGAAUGAUCUUCUCAAAGGAGUUUUUCCAAAGAUCCACCGGAGCAACACUCUGUUAAUGGAGUUGGAUAUUUCAUACACAGGCAUCUCUGGUGAGCUGCCUCAUUCAAUUGGCACCUUUAGUUCAUUGAAAUACUUAAACCUCCAAGGAUGCCAAUUCUCUGGUUCCAUUCCUAAUUCCAUUGACAACCUAACCCAAAUUACGGAGUUGAUUUUAUCUUAUAAUCAUUUCACUGGACAUAUUCCUUCCACAAUCUCUAAAUUGAAGUACCUCACAAAUUUACAUCUUUCUGACAACUCCUUUUCAGGUGAAAUUCCUGAUGUUUUUUCUAAUCUCAAAGAGCUACGUUAUUUAGAUCUUUUUAAUAACAGCUUCAUCGGUCCAUUUCCUGCUUCAAUUUUAAGUUUGACACAUCUUGAAUACUUAGGAUUGUCGAGUAAUUCCCUAUCUGGCCCACUGCCUAGCAAAGCAAGCAUGCUUCAAAAGCUAUCCGAACUGCAUUUGUCUUACAACUCGCUGAAUGGUACCAUACCAUCUUGGGUGUUUAACCUCCCUUUGCUAUCUUCGUCGUGGCUCAAUCAUAAUCAAUUUAGUGGACUAGCCGAUGAGAUCAAAACAAACCCAACAUUAGAAUUCCUGUAUUUAAAUAAUAAUCAACUCAGCGGUUCUUUUCCUCAAUCACUUGUGAAUCUCACAAACCUUUCUACCCUUGACCUUUCAUCAAAUAACAUCACUAUUGAUGAGGGAAUGAAUAUCACCUUUCCUAGCCUUGAAAUUUUGCAGUUAUCAUCUUGUGAACUGAAGGAUUUUCCACACUUGUUGAGAAAUGUAAAGACACUUCAGGUCUUGGAUAUUUCUAACAAUAAGAUUUGUGGUCAAAUCCCUAACUGGUUUAGCGGCAUGAGGAUGGGACUCGUUGCAGCUAUUAAACCUUUCUCAUAAUUCAUUAACAGGCCACCUACCACAAUUUCAUUUCCAUAAUCUAGUGUCUCUUGAUCUGAAAUUUAACUCCCUUCAGGGUCCACUACCUUCAUCCAUUUGUAACAUGAGCAGACUUUUCUUAUUAGAUUUAUCACAUAACUACUUCAGUGACUCAGUUGCACAUUGCUUGGGAAGCAUGGCUAGUCUAACCGUGCUAGACUUGAGAAGGAACAAUUUCAUAGGGAAUCUUCCCCCAUUAUGUGCACAGGGCACUUCAUUGAGUACCAUUGUCGUAAAUGGUAAUCGAUUUGAAGGACCUGUACCUGUGUCGUUGCUCAAGUGUAAUGUUCUAGAAGUCCUUGAUGUGAGGAACAAUGCUAUAAAUGACACAUUUCCAGCUUGGCUCGGAACUCUUCAAGAGCUGCAGGUCCUUAUAUUAACGUCGAACAAGUUCCAUGGACCUAUAAGUACUUGUCAGACUAAGCUUUGCUUUCCCAACUUGCAAAUUUUUUAUCUUUCUCGUAAUGAUUUCAGUGGCUCACUUCCUGCAAAAGUUUUUGGAAACUUCAAGGCAAUGAUCAAAUUAGAUGACGAAGACACAAGAGAGAUCAAGUACAUGGAAUCUAAGUCAAAUUUGUCAUUUGACACAUCUUAUGAGGAUUCAGUGAGUUUGGUAAUCAAAGGGCACGAUAUUGAGCUACAAAGAAUCAGCACAAUUACGACAACCAUAGAUCUCUCAAGCAACCAUUUUGAAGGUGUCAUUCCGGAAACACUAAAGGAUCUCAGCGCACUUUGGCUACUCAAUUUAUCCCACAACAAUCUCAUAGGUCAUAUUCCAAUGGAAUUGGGGCAAUUGAAUACACUUGAAGCUUUAGAUCUCUCCUGGAAUCGGCUCACUGGAAAGAUUCCGCAGGAAUUGACAAGAAUAAACUUUCUAGCAGUCUUAAACCUCUCCCAAAAUCAUCUCGUCGGACCAAUUCCUCAAGGUCCACAAUUCAACACAUUUGGAUAUGACUCAUAUGGUGGCAACCUUGAUUUAUGUGGUCUUCCUUUAUCAAAGCAAUGUGAAACAAGUGAUUCAUCACAUGUUCCUCAACAAGAAGAUGAAGGCGAGUCAUAUUUUUUUAGUGGAUUUACGUGGGAAUCAGUAGUCAUAGGCUACAGUUGUGGUCUAGUUGUUGGAACUUUUCAUGUGGAGUCUCAUGUUUAAAUAUCGUAAGCCAAAAUGGUUUGUGGAAUUUUUUGAUGGACUCAUGCCUCACAAAAGAAGAAGGCCAAAGAAGAGAGCUCAGAGAUGACGGACUUAAUGGAAGAUUGAGAGGGUAACCUUGUCUUUGUUUGAUUUUGUGGACUAAUUAGUGAACUUUUCUGGUUCUGUUUUUGUCUUUUCAAUUUUCUAUUUGUUGUUUGUAUAUGUUUGAUAGAAACAUAAUUAUAUGUGUGUUAUUCAAGUUAUGUUAGUUUGUUUCUGUUUCAAGUUGAUAGAAGUGAUUUACACAGCCACUCAUUAGUUAUGUUACUCAGACUCUUCAAAAAUGUCAACGACUACAUAUUGAAUUCUUCAAAAGUAGAGCAUUUUUUAUGAAACCAACACAAAUGCAACACCAUUUUAUUUUUAGGAGAGUCGGAGCAACAUAGCUCAUCAGCAUAACAAAAACAGGAAAUUGCACAAGCAAAUAGAUCAGUUUGGUUUAUGAUUGAAAUCACUUGAUAUUAGAAAGUUUAUAUUUUUGAAAAUUUAAGUAGAAGAGUACUCAAAACUACAUAAUUUGCUAAUAAUUUUGUGGUUCUGCAUCUUUAGAAUCAUAAAUCACUUAAAAUGUUCUCUAACUCAAUAUCAACUUCCGCAAAUUUAAUUUUAGUAAGUUUUUACAUAUAUUUAUACUUCGUGUACGAAAAAUAAUGUCUCUGGUUGUUCAACAACUAAUUCAUAUUGUUUGAUUAUCAAUGCGGAAAAGGUUUUUUUAAAAGGGCAAAAUGUUCUAUACAAGGAUUUUAGAAGUGACUAGUACUCAUUCAUGGACUACAAGUGACUUUGAGUCUUCCUGGAAAUUGACUUAACACUUAGGACAACCACAAAUUAUUUGUUUGGAUGUGUUUCUUUUCUUUCGCUAAUUUAUACCUCAAUAGUCCCAUGCAUAGACAAGUCAACAACGCUACUUUAUGAAAUACUGUUUGGUUAAUUGUUCACUAUAUUUUAAUGUGGAGGUCGUUGUAAUAAUUAAGAAAUGGAAUAGUGUUUGGUUAAUUAUAGCAUCCUUUCUUCCGUGACUACUUAUUUUAUUGACUUAUUUAUAUGUUGACAAUUAUCAUGAACCCAUAUUAUAUUAUUACUAGGUAAAUUACCCGUGCUUCGCACGGAAUUGAACUAUUUUAUUAAGCUUACAUAUGAUCAUUCGAUAAUAUUCAUAUUUUCGAUACAUACACUACAUUGUCAAGAUCAUUUUAUCUUAAGGCAAAACGUUCCUCCAAAAUCUUAAAGUGCUAUAUUUUUUUAAUUUUCAUUUUUGUUAUACAAAUAUUAUGAGUCAUAGAUAGAUUUUAAGUAUAAGAAAGAAGUCUAAGAAAAUCUCCUUGGAAAUAGUUGGUCAGAAGUAAUGGAAUAUUUUUAAUUCCAAGAAGUUAUAAAGAACAACAUCAGACGUUAAUAAAGAGACCAAAAAAGGUCGAACAACAACACUUCCAAGUAAAGUGGAGUAUCACGUCCAUACAAGAUCAUAAUUAACUAAAUUCAAAUGGACGACCAUGGACUCCUUUCUUAUGAACCUCCAUCAAUCUCUUUUUUAUUAUUGUAUGCCAUAUCAAGUAUAUGCUAAAAAUGACCCUAAAAUUGUUAUUAUCAUAAAUGUUUUUUUGUCAUUGUCUCAAAAUAGUCAUUACUAUUUUAAAGGUUUCAUAUCACCGGCCCCAACUUAUUUGGAUUAAACCAUAGUUAUUGUUAUGGUUAUAGUAUGCAGUUACAAAAAAAUUAAUGCAAUUAUCAGCCAAGCAAUAGGUGACAUCUGAAUGUUCACAACGGGAUAUUCUAAACAAAAAAUUUGACACAUAACAUAUUAAAAUCUCACAACAUAAUUUUGUGAGCACUUGAACUCACAAAUAUCCUAAAAUAAUAAUAAAGACAAUCUUACUUUCCUAACAAUCAAGAAGAAAAAGGCUCGUUGCUUAAUAUAUUUUUCAAAAAGAUAGUCUUUCGGGUUGUAUCCAAGUUCACAGUUCACAAAUUUAGUUGAAAGAAGCCAAAAGAAAGAGUUAUUACUUCUUUAUCAAAAAAAUUUAAAACUUUAUCAAAAGAAUGAGUUAUCACUACAACAAAAAUGAUCUUUAACGAUAAUUAAUAGCUUAAUUAUCGCUAAAUAUGUAUUUUCAGAGGCAAUUGGUACUCUGUAUAAAUGUUCCUAAAGUCUAUAGCAACAUUGAAUCCAAUGACAGUUAAUUCAUGUCGGUAAAGGCUGUAGCACUCUUCGUGAACGUGCAUAUUUAUUGCCGAUAAAAAAUAUUUUUGUUGUAGUGUAUUUUGGACAUUUGUUAGUUUUAAGAAAACUUGAUCUCUUAUUAUGCCCAAAAAGAAGAGAAGAGGAAAUAUGACAAAUUAGUUAACUUGCGAUAAAUGAUGUGGACUAAUUGUCUCUAUACAAAUUUUCUAGGAAUAGUGCAAUGGCAUACAAAAUGUUUGUACCUAAGAAAAAACAAUCAAAAUAAUAUACUAACUGUGGCAAACAAGAGAGAAAUCAUUUUGGUUCUUUUAACAAACUUCAUCAUUGGUUCCGUACUAGUUAUCAGAUUUUUGUUGUUGUGUGCUAUCAAAUAUAGCACAACCCACAAGCAAUUUUCCCAAAAAGUAUAUGAAGAAAAACUGUAGAAAGGGACAAAAGAGAAGAUAAACUUUCAAUCAUCCUCAUUGAAAUUUUGAACAUAAUUAAAAAAAAAGUCACCAAAAUAGCAAAAAGAAAUUGCAAUAGAUACAUGAAUCACUAUGAUUUAUAGUAAAAAAUUAAGCUUCAUGAAAUAGGAGGAAAAAAACUUUGAGAAAUGAAAUGCACUUUAUAAGAAACUUAAUUAAUGUAUUUGAUUUCGAAAAAAAAUACAAAUAAUAGUGGUAGAAAUAAAAGAUUUGUUUACUAAAGAACCAAAUGUAAUGAAUUCAGUCAUCAACCAUUUCAGCAGUGUUAUGAGUUGUGCACUGAGAGAUCCAAGAGCAGUAAUGUCGCAUUGCAAUUGAAAUCAAUUUUCUUUGUUUAUAUGAAGAAACCUGUAGAAAGUGACAAAAGAGAGGAUCAAUUUUCAAUCAUCCCUGCUGAAACUUUAACAGAGUUAAAAAAAAGGUCACCAAAAUAGGAAAAUGAAAUUGCCAUAGUUACAUGAAUCACCAUGACUUACAAUAAAGAUUAAGAUCCAUGAAAACUUUUAGGAAUGAAAAAAAUUCCUAAAAACUUAAUUAAUGUAUUUGAAUUUGACUACCCUAUAGAGGGAAAAAAACCUACAAAUUAUAGUGGCAGGAAAUUCCUCUAUUUAUAGACAACAUAGAGUAGUGUGAACAAAUUUUUAUUGUGCCUUAUCCGAGAUGUCACAACUCUUUGGAAAAGUUACAACCCUUCAGAAAGGUCACAACCUUUCAUAAAAGUCAUAAUUUUUCAUAAAAGUUGCAACUCUUCAUAAAAGUCACAACUUUUCAUAAAAGUCACAGCUUUUAAUGAAAAGGGAAGGCUAGUUUUGGAAAUAAAUAAAAUUUAAAAGGGAAUCCUAGUUUAUGGUGGCGCCACGUAGGCGGGCCUAGGGUUCUCUUUUAUAUAAAUUUUUGAUUUUUGAUAUAUGAUUUUUACGUUUACCUUUUUUAUUCUUCUUUCUAUUUUUAUUCUUUCAUUAUUAAAUAUUCUAAAGUCUAACCUUUUGCAUUAUACAAAAUAUAUUGUUGGGUGUUAAUAAAAAUAUCAAAUUUAUUUUUUGGUGUAUUCUUUAAAUUACAAGCACUACAACAAACACUACAAUAAAAACAACUUGUUGCGGUUUCUGAACCUUUCAUAUAAUUCAUUAACAGGCCACCUACCACAAUUUUAUUUCCAUAAUCUAGGGUAUCUUGAUCUUAAAUUUAACUCCCUUCAGGGGCCACUAUCUUCAUCCAUUUGAAACAUGAGCAUACUUAGACUUGGGGAAAUUGAAUGUGCUUGAAGCAAUGAUUAAAUUAGAUGACGGAGACAAAGGUGAGAUCAAAUAUAUGGAACAAUUGAGUGAAUAUUCAAUGUAUGAAGAUUCAGUGAGUUUGGUGAUCAAAGGCCAUGAUACUGAGCUAGAAAAAAUCAACACAAUUAUGACAACCAUAGAUCUCUCAAGCAACCAUUUUGAAGGUGUCAUUCCAAAAAUACUAAAGGAUCUUGGCUCACUUCGGUUACUCAAUUUAUCACGUAACAAUCUCAAAGGUGAUAUUCCAAUGGAACUGGGGCAAUUGAAUGUGCUUGAAGCAAUGGAUCUGUCCUGGAAUCGGCUCACUGGAAAUAUUCCUACUGAAUUGACAAGACUAAAAUUUCUAGCAGUCUUAAACCUCUCUCAGAAUGUUCUUGUCGGUCCAAUUCCUCAAGGUCUACAAUUCAACACAUUUGGAAAUGACUCGUAUGGUGGCAACCUUGAUUUAUGUGGUCUUCCUUUAUCAAAGAAAUGUGGAACGAGUGGUUCAUCACAUGUUCCUCAACCAUCGGAGUCGUAUUUCUUUAGUGGAUUUACGUGGGAAUCAAGGCUACAGUUGUGGACUAGUUGUUGGAACUGUCAUGUGGAGCCUCAUGUUUAAAUAUCGUAAUCCAAAAUGGUUUGUGGAAUUUUUUGAUAGACUCAUGCCUCACAAAAGAAGAAGGCCAAAGAAGAGAGCUCAGAGACGACGGAUUUAAUGGAAGAUUGAGAGGGCCAACUUGUCUUUGUUUGAUUUUGUGGACUAGUUAGUGAACUUUUCUGGUUCUGUUUUUGUCUUUCUGUUUGUUGUUUUGUAUAUGUUUGAAAGAAACAUAAUUAUUAUAUGUGUGGUAUUUUAGUAUCAAUGGUUAUUCAAGUUAAGUCUAUUUCUGUUUCAAGUUGACAGAAGUGAUCUACACAGCCACUCAUUAGCUAUGUUACUUAGACUCUUCAAAAAUGUCAAUGGGUACGUGUUGGAUUCUUCAAAAGUAAUGCAAUUUUUAAGGAAUCAACAUGGGUGUCAUUAUAUUUUAGGAUAGUCGAAGCAACAUAACUCAUCUUUCUUAACAUUUUCUGUUUCUGUAUUUAUUUCUUUUAAAGAUCAUUGCUUUGAUCUUAAUGGCUUUCAACCCAUAUUAGGAACACUUGAAAUGGCUGAACUCAUACACACAGAGGAUAGAAACUAUUCAGCUGUUGACUGAAGUGAUCCACUUAUUAGUACAACAAAACAGGAAAAGGCUACAUCCACCUCUGGGGCUCAUGUUGUUCUGUUUCUUCAAAUGCAAAACACUCUCUAUCAGGAUUUUCUUUAUUUUCAAGGUUCGAAUCCGAAACCCUUGGUUCAAUUUUACCUGGAACCAUGCAUUUAGCAUAACUAUAUGUCCUAUUGCAUUAUAGUUAUUAUACAAAGUGGAAAAGUUCAAGGGAUAAUAACACCAUCUCAAAAGUCGGGUGUGUAACUGAAAAUCUAAAUCAACUUUAGGGGUAUACUUAGGGCUGUUCAAAACUGAACCAUAACCGAUAAGUCAAUCGCAAAAUUGACUUAUUGGUAUUGGAUUAUCGGAUUAACGGUUGGUCAACGGAUUAAAAUUUUAUAGUUAAUGGUGCGGGGCGGAUUACUCAAUGGUGCGGGCCGGAUCACUCAAUUUCCUUCUAGGGUAAACCAUUAACCUUUUAAAAAUUAUCGUAGUUAGGAUAUUUAUUAAGUAAAUACUAAUGCGCUUGCACCCUCAAAAUUUAGUUCACAUGUGUUGUCACGCCCUGAGCCUACACCCUGGACGUGGCGGGCACUCGAAGACCAUUGCUGGUCCCAAGCGAACUGUUGGCCUAGUUUACUUGACUCAGCGGAAGACUUAAACUAAACAAAGAUAAGUUCAUAUAAUAAAUUGGAAUGUUAUAAAGGAACAUUCAACUGGACAUUAAGGCAAACUCAAGUCUGAACAUGGAGUAAUGACAAUGAAAAAACUAAAAACUAACAUCUGACUGUCUAUGAAGCCUCUAAUAACAACUGAGAUGGAUGUUGGGAUAGACCCCACAACAUCCUAAUAAACUAAACUGGAAAGCAAUGAAAUGGAUCCUCCGGAAAGCAAGGAGGCUCACCAACAGACUCUGGACUGCUCACUGGAUCAACGAUGCGUCAGGAUGCCGAUCCUAGUUACCUGUGUUUGCAUCAUAAUACGAUGCAGACCAACUGACAUCAGUACAUUGAGUGUACGAGUAUGCGAGUUGGAAUGCUAAAACAACAUAGACUAGAAAGAAUCUGAGAGAAACUGAAGAACUUACAUGACUCAACUCAACAUGACUGAACUCAUUUCAUUAUAAAUCAGUUUAAAAGCAAGUGCAAUAUAAAGAAAAGUUGUUUAAAAACAUGAUAUUAACUCUGUGUGUAUGCAAGAUACAAAUAACUCUGAGAUGUAUUUAAAAAUACAAUAAACUGAUGUAUAUAAAAAUACAAUAACUUCUGUGGGAGUUUCUCUAACCGACAACCACCACUUAUGAAACUAAGUGGUGAUACAACGUUUUACCUCACGUUACCCAAGGACCAUCNNNNNNNNNNNNNNNNNNNNNNNNNNNNNNNNNNNNNNNNNNNNNNNNNNNNNNNNNNNNNNNNNNNNNNNNNNNNNNNNNNNNNNNNNNNNNNNNNNNNNNNNNNNNNNNNNNNNNNNNNNNNNNNNNNNNNNNNNNNNNNNNNNNNNNNNNNNNNNNNNNNNNNNNNNNNNNNNNNNNNNNNNNNNNNNNNNNNNNNNNNNNNNNNNNNNNNNNNNNNNNNNNNNNNNNNNNNNNNNNNNNNNUUAUCCCGGGAUUAACUUACCUUAUCCCGGGAUUAACUUACCUUAUCCAUUACACCAAACGACCCCUAAGUCUUAAAACAAAGUUAAAAGCCUUUGCAAAAGACUUCUUGAAAAGACUCUAAGAAUUUCUUAGACUUGGCUCUUGACUUUCCUUGAAUUUAAAUUUAGGAAUUCAAGGUUAUGGUUUAUGUUUCUGGAUGAUUUCUAGACGUUUAGAAGUCAUUUAGAGUAGUUAGAAUCAAUGGAAAGUGUUAGUACACUUUAGAAGAACUUAAAUAGGCUAGACGACGGAAAACUGACGAAAAACGACGAUUUGGGCGCAUCCCGGGCGCGCUGCGCCAGCCCCAACUUACUGGGGCUCAAAUCUGGCGCACUGUUGGCGCGCUGCCCCAUCCCCUCGGGCGCAUCUGGGGCGCGUUGCGCCAGCCUCCCUUCAAGCAAAAUUCUAACGAACUUUUGCUCUCGUUUUCUGAUCCUAAAUCGUUUUAAUCUAAUUCUUUUUCUCAAUUUCACUUUAGAUUUAUGUACCCAAAUCAUAUACACAAGGAUCUAACUCAAGGAACUCAAGAACUAACAACUUAGUCAUCAAGAACUCCUAAAACUCAACUCAUGUUCAAGAACAAAAGUAAUUCAAGAACCACAUUCAAUAACAUUCAAAAUCCAAUCUUUUUGAAAUGAAAUCGCUGAAUCAAACAUGCUUGGCACGUGGGUAAACGAACCCAACAUUGAGAUAGACUCACAUACCUUAAUUGAUUGAAUCCUCGGCCAAAUUCGCAAGCAAUUCCUUACGACGACAACGAAUCUAGCUUUUUCCUCCUUUGUCUUUUCUUGCGUUCUUCCUCCAAAACCCUAGUUCUAUUUGGUAAAUGUCUAAACUGAUUUAAUUCAGCUUAGACCCCUAAUUAAUUACCAAAAAUGAAUUAAAAUAAAAGGGUAAGGAAAAGACCAAACUACCCUUUAAAAUCCGGAUUGGACAUUUCCUUAAUCCAACAACCCAACUUCCAAAGGGAAUAUCUCACUCAUAUGAACUCGUAAUCGUGCAAACUUGGCGGCGUUGGAAAGAUAAUUCCAAGAGCUUUACAAUUAUACCUGGAAGUACACCUAACUCAUCUUGAUCUAGGAGUUAUCUCCGUUUGAAGUUGGCCCAAAAAUCAACUUUUCUUAACUUAAACAAAUUUUCCAGAUUUUUGUUAUUUCCAAAAAAAAUGACUAUUUCAACUUCUUAGCUUCUUCCUAGUUAUUUCAAUUUGUGAGAUGUUACAUGUGUCUCACUGUGAUUUACAAUUACUGAAUUACCAGCUUAAGUAGGGCUAGAAAAAAAUGUUUUGUUUGAUGGGAGAUCAAUCUAAUUGUGAUUGAAAGUGAAAGAAGGGAGCACGGAAUGUUGGAGCCAAUACACCAACCGAUAACCAUCCAUUAAUUCCUAACCCGAUACCGAGUCAACCGAUAGCUUAUCCAUUGGCUAGCAGAUUAAUUUCUUUCUCGUGUUUGUAAUUUUAUCUUGUUUUAUUUUUUCUUUCACUUAGACUCCAUAUUUAUUUAUUAAGAAAUUAAUUAAAUAUAUAAUUAUGAAUUUGGUAAUUAGAAUGAGUUGUGAGAGUUAAACGAUAAAUUCAAAAUUUAUAGAAAUCAAAUUUUGGCUCCAUUUCUGAAAGGUGAGGUAAAGAUAGGGCUUGGAGUUUAUGAAAUCUAGAUUUUAGAAAAAGACCGCACCUUAAUAGGCUUUUGAUAGAUUAUUUGAAAAUUUUAAAUAUUAAUAUAUGAUUUGAGCUGAAGUUACUAAACACUUUUCGAACCCAAGCUAUACUUCUUUCUCAGGGUAUACCCUCCACAACUUCACUCUUAAUCAUAUAUUUUGACUUUGAAUCAUUCUAGUACUAGAAUAAGGAUAAUCAGCUAGGCAAUUAAGCAACACUUUCUGGCAUGGUGGUACAACUGCCAACAACUAGAAACAUUUUUCAUAUUUCUUAAAUUCAAUCAAUGUAGUAACUUGUAAACUUAAGUUUCAUAGUUAAGAUAUGGUAAAAAAAAUAAAAAUAAUAUCUCUUUUAUUGAGUAAGGUAUAAUCUACAGAAAUUUUUAUGGGCCUCAAAAAUGGGCUGCUCCUUUUAAACAUGGGAUGGGCUUCUCUUCUCUUAAUGGGCCUUAUGCUGCACGAGCCUGUAUUAGUUGGAGCUCCGAAACAGGAAUAGAACACCGGGUUAAGGAUUUGAAAAUUAUCUUUCCAAAUGACAUUCAAGCUAGGUGCUCUAAUAUAUUUUACUCGCUUUCCUUAACUUCCUUGAUUUAUCUUUAUCUAUACUGACAGUGUAAAACUUAUCACUUAUAAUAGUUAACACGUUAUUUUCCUGAUUUCAAAUUAUUAAUCUCAUGAAGUUUCACUUAUAGUUACUUUUAGAUGACUUGAUAGUGAAAAAAAAUAUUCUUUGAAACUUUGUUUCAAAUUGUCUAGCAUACAAUUAUCCCAGAACAAUGUAGGGGCGGAUCUAGUGAAGCAGCUACGAGUUCAUUCGAACCAAGUAGCUUUGCUUAAGACUCUUUAUAUAUGUUAAAAAAUGAAUUACAUAUUUUUCAACCUUUCAAAAUAAAUGGUACUUGUAUUGUUACCAUGUAGUACCUAAGUGUAAUGGUUACGCAUAAUUUGUAAAUUUUGUAAUGAAGGGUCUAUCGGAAACAACCUCUCUUCUCUACCUCCACAAGUUAUGAUAAGGUCUGCAUACACACUACCCUCCUCCUCAGACCGCACUUGUGGGAUUACAUUGAGUAUGUUGUUGUUUGUUCAUUUAGUUGUUGUGAAAAACUAUAAGAUAGUACCAUUUUUUGUUGUGUGUUACACAUGAUUCAGUCCUUAAGACAGCAAAGCUGGUCUUCUGUAGGAGAUAUUUGUCUCAAGUUCACAUUUGAUAUGUGUUACACAUGGUUCUAUAUAUGUGGAUAGGAAAAAUCUAUGUAGGAGAUAUUUGUCUUAAAUAACAUCACCAUUGAUGCUGGAAUACAAAUCACUUUCCCUAGCCUAGAAGUUUUGCAGUUUUCUUGUAAACUGAAGGAUUUUUCACACUUGUUGAGAAAUGUAAAGACAUUUGUGUACUUGGAUAUUUCUGCUCCCAAUUGCACACGCAAAUGUAUGUGGUCGCGGAAGAAAUAUAGUGACUCUUAACAGAAUCGGAUUAUAUAUCGAACCCAAAAGACUUGUCAAUUAACUAUUUUACUAAAUUAUACUGGUCUAAUUAUUUAUUUAAGAGUGCCAAAAGAAUUGACUUUUAUUUAAAUACUAAGAAUGCAAGAAUUAAAUAAUAAAAUUACUUACAAUGGUUGGAAAAUUUCAGGGCCGCAACAUGCAUAGGGUUCAUGUAUCACAUCUCAUGCAUGAAUUAACUACAGUUAUCAAAUUACUGAUUUACACGGUUGAUUUUAUGAUCGAUCAUGGUCUUCCGACCUCUAAUCGUCUACUCAAUUUAGUUGUUUAACUACAUCGUUGAGUGAGGAUAGACAGUCCUAAUUGACGAGCAUUUAUAUUUCCUCAUGUUUUGUGACCAAGCUAGGUGUUCGUCUGAGCGUCAUUCCUAAACACAAAUCAACUCAAUUUAAUGGAAGAUCAACCUUUUUGUAUCCAUUGGUCUAUCUACCUUAGUGUCUCCUGAUUUUAAGAGUAGACAAUAGAUUUAUCUCUAUGAUGGCCAGUCAAGAAAUACUAAAACAAGAAUACAAAAGUAAUUUAAGCGAUAAUCGAUGUUCAACACUUACACAUAGCUACAACCCUAGAACAAGGGCCUUUAACUACUAAUGUCUAAGAAAAUAUAUAGAAGCCUAAAAAGUAUUGACAACUUUAUAGUUAUACCUAUGAUUCAUCUCCCCCAAUAAUUAUUUCUAUGAACUAUUUAUAGAUAUAGAAAAUUCCAAAUAAAAUAACUGAGUCCAAAACAAAUCGGAAAAUCAAAACCAAACGGAAUUUGACUUCCACGUCAACAAUGGUCGUCCAACUGCCUCAAUUCUCUUUGCUGCCUUCAGAAUCAGCCACGUGGCAACUAAUGUAGGUAAACUUCAUUAAUUUCCUUUCUUUGUACGUUUGAAUGAAUAUUAAGUUGUCUGCUUGAUUUUCUUCUAUAAUCUUUCAUCUUUAAUUCGUUUUAGGUCCAAAUUUUUUCAUCUUCACACCAAUUUAAUCUUAUAAAUAAAAUACACUACUUAGCAUAAUUCAUAAAAUUCAUGCUAAAAAAGGACAAAUAUAUAUAAUAAAUGUAAGGUAAAUAAUGAUUAAAAUAUAUAUUUUUAGCCUCAUAUCAAUAAGAUUCGUGGUCAAAUCCCUAACUGGUUUAAUGGCAUGAGGUGGGGUUCGUAAACCUUUCACAUAAUUCAUUAACAGGCCACCUACCAAAAUUUCAUUACCAUAAUGUAGAGUAUCUUGAUCUUAAAUUUAACUCCCUUCGGGGUCCACUACCUUCAUCCAUAUGUAACCUAAUAUAUAUUCCUUUAACAAUCUGUACAUUGAAGCAACUCACACUUUUAGAUCUUUGGAGGAGAAAUUCCUGCAUUUGAAAGUUCGAUUUUUUUGUGUUUGCCGUAGCAGUGGACUUAUAGGCCUAUUCAUCCUUGUAAUGAAAAUUGAACAUGAAUGAAAAUAAAAACCAAAUGAAAGAAAAAAAAUAUGGAGUAUAUAUUAUUUUGUUAGGUCUUCUUCGUCCUCUAACAAACACUACAAAAUAUGAGUAAUAAGUUGUUAGAAGUGAGUAGUACUCAUCUAUGGACCACAAGUUGCGUACCAUUUAUGAUUGUAUAGAUUCCAUGGAAAAAUUGCAUAGAAAUUUAAUGCAUUUGUACAACUUGGUUUCCUCUAUUCCGAAUGUACAAUAAUUGUUCUCACAAUUGGUUCAAUGACGCGUUUUGACCUUUUAUGAUUAUAUAGAUUCCGUGGAAAAAUUGUACUAAAAUUUAUUGCAUUCAUACAACUUGGUUUCACUUGAUUAAAGGGACCAAUUUCACAUCAUCUUGCUUAACACAUACUGCAGAGAUAGUCGAUCUAUGACCUCGAAAUGAACAACAACAUCUAGAGAAAAUGAGGACAUAGUGAGUAUUAUAUUGUUAAGUCUUCUUCGUGCUCUAAAAAAUCUCGUGAAACACUACAAAAUAUGUGUAACAUGUUGUUAUAAGUGACUAGUACUUAUUCAUGAAGUACAGGUGACUUUGAGUCUUCCUGGAAAUUGACUUUAACACUUAGGAUGUGUUUCUUUUCUUUCGUUAAUUUGUACCUCAUAGUCCCAUGCAUAGACAAGUCAGCAAUGCUACUUUAUGAAAUAUCGUUUAGUUAAUUAAUUGUUCACAUUAUUUAAUGUGGAGGUCGUUAUAACAAUUAAGAGAUGAAAUGGUGUUUAGUUAAUUAUAUCAUCAUUUCUUACGUGACUACUUAUUUUAUUAACUUAUUUAUAUCUGGGCAAUUAUCAUGAACCCGCAUUAUUAUUUUUACGUUUAUCUUUUUUAUUCUUUCAUUAUUAAAUACUCUAAAGUCUAUCAAACGGUAAAACCUUUUGAAUUAUACAAACAAUAUUGUUGGGUGUUAAUAAAAAGAUCAAUCUGUUUUUUGGUGUAUUCUUUAAAUUACAAGCACUAUAACAAAAACAACUUUUAGCUCAAAAGUCACUUAACUAUGAAUUCUUUUCUCAAAAAGUCACUCAACAUUGAAUUUUAACACAAAUAUCACUCAAUUAUGAGUGGUUUACUUACAAAGUCACUCAAUUAUGAUUGUUUUACUUACAAAGUCUGUUAACAUAUUUAAUUGUUUUUUUAAUUAAAAUUUGUUGGUAUAAUUUUCUUAUUUAAAAUUAAUAUUUUAAAAAAAAGUAAUAUCCAUUAAAUAAUUUAAUGAUCUGCCCCGCUAAAAAUAUAAUAUUGAUUUUUUUUUUAAUUGGAAUUCAAGAAUAAUACGGGAAUAAAUUAUUCCAUGCAUCAGAAUUCUAAGCAUUAUGAGGAAUAAAUUAAUUUCCUCUUCAUCCCCUCCCCCUUUCUCAGUUGCUGCCUCUUCUUCCUCUUUUAGUUUUUUUAAUUGGAAUUCAAAAAUAAUACUGGAAUAAUUUCAUGCAUCAGAAUUCCUAAAGCAGAGGAGAAAGAAUCCGACAAUAAUUUAGGAGAAUUAGCGGUAAAAUAAAAUGGGUCAAUAUUAUAUUUUUAGGAGGUCAUUCAUUAAAUGAUUUAAAUGAAUAUUUUUUUAUUUUUUAAAAUAUUGCUUUUAAUAAAAUUUUAUACCAGCAAAUUUAAUUAAAAAAUUAACUAAAUAGGUCAAAUGACUUUGUAAGUAAAAUACUUAUAGUUGAGUGACUUUGUAAGUAAAACACUCAUCAUUGAGUGACCUUUUAGUUAAAAUUCAAGUUGAGUGACUUUCUGAGAAAAGAAGUCAUAGUUGAGUGACUUUCUGAGAAAAAAAAUUCAUAGUUGAGUGACUUUCUGAGAGAGUAGUGCAUAACUGAGUGACAAUAUUAUAUUACGUGGUUUUGAGUAAGUUUUAUUAUUCUAACUUUAUAUUAUAUAUUUUUUCAUUGAAAAUUUUCGUUGUUUGUAUUCUUACUUCAUAAUGGUCUAUGACUUUGUGUACAUCCUACCUUCUUGAAACUUUACUUGUAGGAUUACAUUAAUCAGUAUGUUAUAAGUAUUCAAUUUAUGUUCGAGUAAUCAACACCAAAUAUUUGGGCAUAUCCCUUGACAACAAGCCUAGCCUUGUAUUUAUUGAUAGAACCAUCAGAAUUGAGCUUGGUUCUAAACACCCAUUUUACUCCAAUGACCUUCAUAUCUUUCAGUCGGUCGACUAACUCCCAAGUUUUGUUUUUCUUGAUCAUUAGCAUCUCCUGCUCCAUUGGCGUUUUCUCCAUUUUUUAUCUUGAAGUGCUUCAUCGUGCCCUGCAGGCUCACAAACUGCCACAUUACUUUGUUGGUAGAUGUCAGAGAGUAGUCUUGUACCUCUAAUUGGAAGAUCAUCCACCAACUCAUUUUUCCAGUGAUCCGAUGCCUGCUCCUCUGAAGCUUUGACUGAAAGUUGAUUGUCCUUCCAGUCCCAUUUCUCUUCAUCAACAAAGUGCACAUCUCUACUGACAAUCAUCUUCCCUGUUUGUGGAUUAUAUACUUUGUAGGCCUUGGAGGAUGAGCUACAACCCACAAAUAUUCCAGGAAGUGCCUUCUUGUCAAGUUUGUCUCUUUUAACCUGUGGCACAUGGAAGAAACAAACACAACCAAAUACUUUAGUGAAGCUUAGUGAUGGUUUGUAUCCAUUCCAAGCCUCAAAUGGAGUUUUAUUCAACAAUGCUUUAGUAGGAAGCUGAUUUUGGAGAAAUAUUGCCGUAUUAGCUGCCUCAGUCCAAAAACUUUUCGGCAACUCUUUUUCAUGCAACAUGCACCGCGACAUCUCCAUUAUAUAUCUGUUUCUCUUUUCACUAACUCCAUUUUGUUGCGGAGUAUAUGGAGCAGUAAGCUGAUGAGUAAUACCCGCUUUCUCACAAAAUUUGUUAAAUUGUUCAAAAUUAUACUCUUUUCCAUUGUCAGACCACAGAGAUUGGAUUCUGCAACCACUUUGAUUUUCCACCAUCUUCUUGAACUUCAAGAAAAUUCCAGCCACUUCUGAUUUAUAUUUCAUAAAAAAAAUCCAGCAGAAUCUUGUAUAGUCGUCAAUGAAUAUAACGUAGUAUAGACUACCAUUAAGGGAUGGUGUUCUUUGAGGUCCUGCAACAUCUGUGUGAAUCAGUUGCAACCUUUGAGAAGUCCGCCAUGUUGCUUUAGGAAAUGACUUCUUAUUCUGCUUACCAAAUUGACAAGCUUGACAACUUGGUAAGUGAUCAACUAGAGUUGGUAGUCCUCUUGUCAUAUCUUCCUUCUCCAGCAACAAUAGUGCUUGUAGAUGGCAAUGGCCAAGUCUCUUGUGCCAGGUUUCCGUUACACUUGCCUUCAUGGAAUAAGCUAGUCACUCUUUCUCUGUUGGAUCAAAGGAAAAAAUCCUUCCUCUCAUCUUCACCCUGAAAAUUUCAUUUCCAGUAGUGUCACUGAUUUGACAGUGAUGAUCUUCGAAGAAAACCUUGAAUUCUUUUUCCAUCAGAUGUCCUACGCUUAGCAAAUUCUGAUCAAUUUCAAGAACAUACAGAACCUCUGAAAUUUUCUUUGUGCCAGUGCUCGUCUUGAUAGCUAUGGUUCCAAUUCCUUUGACAGGAAGGUGAUCUCCAGUUCCUAUCCAAACCUUCGAAAUUUCAGUGGGCUUCAACUCCUUGAAUAAACUCUCGUCAUGAGUCAUGUGGUUAGUGCAACCUGUAGUAUCCGGAAAUUUGAAAAUAGCUAUGACGAGGCUGAGAAUUGGAAAUAGUCACUUUUUGGAAAGAAUUCAAAUCUGGAAAUUUGGUUAAGUGUGGGAAAAAAAUGAGUUUUUGGCCAACUUUGAACAGUCAUAACUCCUAGAUCAGGAUAAGUUAGGUGUAGUUCCAGUUAUUUUUGCGAAGCCCUUGGAAUGAUCUUUCCAACACUGCCGAGUUUGCUCGAUUCCGAGUUUGUAUGAGUGAGUUAUGCCCUUUGGAAGUUGGGUUGUUGGUAUAGGAAAGUUCACCCGAAAUUGUAAGGGUAUUUUGGUCUUUUCCCUAACCAAUUCUUUUGGUUAUAUUAGUGUGUUAGACUGAUUUUGGAUUAGUUUUUCCCAUUUUAAAGAGUAAGAGAGAGGGUUUGUGAGUGAAGAGGAGAAGAAGAGGAGAAAGAGGGGAUCAAGCAAGGAUUCAUCAAAGAUCGUCGUGGAUAUCGUCGGGGGUGAUCCCUACUAGGUAUGUGAGUUCAUAGUGUUGGGUUGGUUCUUUCCCCCACACGCCAAUCUCGUUUUAAUUUCGAGAAAAGAUUGAUUGUGUUUGUUGAAGUUGUUGGUUGUGAUUGUGUUGAAGUUCUUGUUGAUUUGGGCAUGUUUUCGGUUGUGUUUCUGGGUUAAAUAUAUUGUAUGUUGAGGGGUUUUAUGAUAUUAAGUGUUUGGGGCUGGAAACUUUGAAGUUGGGAAGGUUUAGAAUUGGAAAAACAAGGAAGAAAAGUCGAAUUUUCGAGGGAAAAGGGGUGGGCCAUCGCGCCUGCCAGCGCGCCCCAAAAGGGGUUCUGAACUUUCCCCCUUGGGGCGGCGCACCUAGCAGCGCGCCAGCAGGCCCCUCUGAAGUUUUAGGGCUGGCGCCCCGCGCCUCUCAGAGCAACAAGGACGCCAACCUUUCCCAUUCAUUCCCCACAUUUUCAUGCAUGUUCCUUAGUAUUGUACUUAUGUUUCAUAGUUGUUUCCAACACUCCAAGGUACGUCUAAACGUCAAGAACUCAUCGAUAAACAUGUGAUCAUAUACCUUGAAUCCAUAAUCCAAUUCAAGGCGAGUUAGGAUCAAGUCAAAGUGAAGUUAAGGGUCAAGUCUAGAAGUUAAGAAGCAAGUCAAAGCAAGUUUUCAAAGGUGUUCAAGAGUCUUUAUUGAACGUUCUAACUUCAUUUUAAGGCUCAAGUUUCAAGUCAAGUAAAGAGUAUAGAGCUUCAAGCUAAGUAAAGAGUCUCAGGUUUCAAGUUAAGUCAAGAGUAUAAAGUUGAGUUCAUUUCUCAAAAACUAUUAGGGACCUAAGUAUUCCCAAAGACGUUUAUAAAUGUUUUUACAUUUGAGUAAGAAGGGAACCAUGUUCUCCAAAAAGAGCCUUUGGGCUAAGUUUGAGUAAUUAUCUCAACUAAAGAAAGAUUUGUUUAAAACACUUAUGAGCUAAAAUAUAUUUUUGGGAGUAGUCUUGAGCACCGAGUUGGGGACAUGAGUUCAUAUUAACUCAACUCUCCAUAAGAACCAUGUGGCCAACAUGGGAUUUAACGGGUCAUACUUUUUAGAUAAUCACGUAAGUUAAGCUAGUGGAUCCACUUAGUAAAGUUAGCUUCCUAUAUCACGGCAAGGUAUAGGAUGGGCCUCGGCAGUGCGAGGUAAAGCGCUGUAUCAUCACUAUAGUUCUUAAAUGAUGGUUGUCGGAUAGAGAAACUCCCACAGCAGUAGAAAGUGCUUGGUUCCUCGAGGAGUUCUGCUUAGUAUGAAUGGGGGUAUGGGACUUCAUUCAUACAUUGCACAAGUAGACCUUGAGAGGAAGCAUGGUAUUUUCAUGAUAUUAAAAAUAUGAUUUUUACGUCAUGUUUUAAGAGUUUUACAAGCUUUAUAUAUUGCAUGUGUCUUAUUGCUUUAUAUAUUGAGUUCAGUUAUUCAUGAGUCCUCCUUGCUUUCCAUAGGACUCGGUUAUUUUGUGUUCUUAGUUUUGUUUUAUUAGGGUGUUGCGGGGUCUGUCCCAACAUCCAUCUCAGUAUUUUUAGAGGCUUCACAGACAGUCAGUCAGUAAGUUUUGAGUCUCUCAUCUAUGUAUAUAUAUAAUAUUCUAUUUUGAGACGCGAGUUGCUUUUUUGGCUAGCUUUUGUCAGUUAGGUUGUUUUAUGACCUUUCAUUGCAUUGAGUUAUGCUGUUGAGUUAAGUUUCUGUUGAGUUAAGAAAAGCCAGGCCAAGGGUUCGCUUGGGGGCCAACAAUGGUGUUCGAGUGCCGGCCACGUCCAGGGUGUAGGUUCGGGGCGUGACACAACCACUGUCAACUAACCAAGAAUCUGUUGAGCUCUUACUUGAAAAGCAUGUUGCAAUAAAAGGAUGAUCUUCUUCUUCUUGAUCAACAACUUGAGCAUUUCCUUCCUCCUGCGGGGCCUAAUUCUUGCAAAUCACUGCUUCGUGUCCAAGCUUAUUGCAUUUCUUACAUUUAGCAUCAAGUCUCUUCCAACACUUGAAUGGUGCAUGGCCUUUUCUUCCACAAUGGUGACAAGGGGGAUAACUUUUUUUCGCACUUCCUCCCUUAGUUUUGUUGUUGGCUGAUGUUUCUCCUUCACACACUGCUUGAUUCUUUUUCUUCUUCUGAAUUUUGUUAACCUGAUGCUUACUGACAAGUGCCCCUUCUGUUGUAACCUCCUGUCUCAUGAGUCUUCUUUGCUCUUGAGCUUUCAGGGAAUUGAGCAACUCUGUCAAACUAAUCUUUGACAAAUCCUUAGUAUUUUAUAAGGUUGUAAUUGUUGCUUCAUACCUUUCAGGAACUGUUACAAGGAUCUUCUCAACAAUUCUCGAGUCUGAAAAUGUAGAGCCGAGUAGCCUCACCUUUUUUGCAAUAUUUAGAAGUCUAUCCGAAUAUUCCUUCACUGUUUCAGAUUCCUUCAUUUUUUGCAAUUCAAACUCCCUAAUUAAGUUUAAAACUUGCAUACCUUUUAUUCUCUCAUCUCCAGAAUACUCUUCCUUAAGAUAAUCCCAUACUUCUUUAGCAGUUUUCAGAGACAUUAUUCGCGUGAAAACUAUUGACGAUACAACAGCAAAUAAACAUGCCUUGGCCUUCGAUUUCUUUGUCUUCUGUUCCUUGUGUGCUUUAAUCUGAGCAAUGGUAGGAUUAUUUGGUAGGGCUGGAAUAUCGUAAUCCUCUUCCACAGCUUCCCAGAGAUCCAAAGCAUCCAAGUACGUCUCCAUUCAUACUGCCCAAAUCUGAUAAUUAUCUCCAUCAAAGACCGGCGGAGCAAUUGGUGAGAAACUUGCUUCAGCAUCCAUGGCUACUCCAACUCGAUCACAAAUCCCUUAAGAUGAAAGCUCUGAUACCAACUGUUUUUAGUAAGACUAAUGACAGAUAACACAAUGAAGACAAUGUCUAGUUUGCUACAGAAAGGAAAGCAGGAGAAUACAAGGAAUUUAAAUGUGAAGAUAACUAAGAGAAAAGCUUAUGCAGAAAGUUGUAUUUCAGUAAAAUCAACCAAAAAUACAUAAACAUACAAUUAAGUAACUGAUAUAGAUCAUGGUCCUACUUUUAAGUCAUGGUACUAACCAUGGUAACUACCCCUAAAAUAACUGAAAAAAGAAAUACAGGAAACUUAGAAAUAGAUCCUGCAGUCCUAAAGCAACUAACUAAUAGUCGUAAAUGGUAAUCGAUUUGAAGGACCUGUCCCUGUGUCGUUGCUCAAAUGUCAUAAUUUAGAAGUUCUUGAUGUGGGGAACAAUGCUAUAAAUGACACGUUUCCAUCUUGGCUUGAAAUUCUUCAAGAGCUGCAGGUCCUUAUAUUAAAGUCGAACAAGUUCCAUGGACCUAUAAGUACGUGUCAAACUAAGUUUUGCUUUCCCAAGUUGCGAAUUUUUUAUUUUUCUCGUAAUGAUUUCAGUGGCUCACUUCCUGCAAAAGUUUUUGGAAACUUCAAGGCAAUGAUCAAAUUAGAUGACGAAGACACAAGAGAGAUCAGGUACAUGGAAUCUAUGUCGAAUUUGUCAUCUAUCGCAUCGUAUGAGGAAUCAGUGAGUUUGGUAAUCAAAGGGCACGUUAUUGAGCUACAAAGAAUCAGCACAAUUAUGACAACCAUAGAUCUCUCAAGCAACCAUUUUGAAGGUGUCAUUCCGGAAACACUAAAAGAUCUCAGCUCACUUUGGCUACUCAAUUUAUCCCAUAACAAUCUCAUAGGUCAUAUUCCAAUGGAAUUGGGGCAAUUGAAUACACUUGAAGCUUUAGAUCUCUCCUGGAAUUGGCUCACUGGAAAGAUUCCGCAGGAAUUAACAAGAAUGAACUUUCUGGCCUUCUUAAACAUCUCUCAAAAUCAUCUCGUCGGACCAAUUCCUCACAGUCUACAGUUCAACACAUUUGAAAAUGACUCGUAUGGCGGCAACCUUGAUUUAUGUGGUCCUCCUUUAUCAAAACAAUGUGGAACGAGAGAUUCAUCACAUGUUCCUCAAGCAUUGGAGUCCUAUUUUUUUAGUGGAUUUACAUGGGAAUCAGUAGUCAUAGGCUACAGUUUUGGACUAGUUGUUGGAACUGUCAUGUGGAGUCUCAUGUUUAAAUAUCGUAAGCCAAAAUGGUUAGUGGAAUUUUUUGAUGGACUCAUGCCUCAGAAAAGAAGAAGGCCAAAGAAGAGAGCUCAGAGACGACGGACUUAAUGGAAGAUUGAGAGGGGCCAACUUGUCUUUGUUUGAUUUUGUGGACUAAUUAGUGAACUUCUCUGGUUCUGUUUUUGUCUUUUUAAUAUUCUGUUUGUUGUUUGUAUAUGUUUGAUAGAAACAUAAUUAUAUAUGAGUUAUUUUAGUAUCAAUGGUUAUUCAAGUUAUGUUUCUGUUUCAAGUUGACAUAAGUGAUCCACACACCAAACUUAUUAAUUAGCUAUGAUACCCGGACUUUUCAAAAAUGCCAACAGAUACUUGUUGGAUUCUUCAAAGUAUUGCAUUUCUCAAGGAACCAACACAGGUGCGACAUCAUUAUAUUUUAGGAGAGUCGGAGCAACAUAGUUCAUUAGUACAACAAAAAGGAAAAAGCAAAGCAGUAAGCACAUAGAGUUUGGUUCAUGAUUGAAAUCACUUGAUAUUAGAAAGUUCAUAUAUUCAGCAUAACUGCAUGUCCAUUUUACAUUACAGUUCUUCUUAUACAAACUAGAAAAGAAAAUCUUGUGUUUACAGAAACUGAAAAUUGAUUUUCUAUAAUGUAAUACAUUUGCAUUGACCACACUACCCUUUUGUCACAGUGUUUUAUAGGUUACGAAGUUUAAGAAAAAAAAGUAAGAUUUUUUAAAUUUGUGAUUUUGAAUAUGACGUGCGAUUUUUGUGGCUAUAUAUAAAAGUAUGAAGUGUUGAUCUUUUUUGAAAUAGAUUAAUAGGAAAUAGUGUUACGUAAAAUGAAAGACAGAAUGUACUAUAUAGUGUGAUAUUGAACCAGAUCUUGAGAUAUAUAGAGUGCAAACUAGCUAGCUGUAAAGUAUCAACUUUGUCCCCAUUAAGUUUUUUCUACUACAAAAAAACUAGAAAAGUGAAAAGUGUUGUGGAAAAUUAUAGAAUGUACCUAACAUGUUUGAAAACAACUAAUCAGGAAUUUCUGAUACAAUUUCUCUGCAAUCUUUAACAUUAAAUAUUGACCAAGUCAAGUCUCUCUGGUGGUGGAAUUAGAAUGUUGAAUUAGCUUUACUUUUAUUUCUUUCUUGUUUAACAUCUUAUAUUUAUAAAUAAAAUAAGGCAACAUGUCCUAUCAUUAUUAUACUAAAUUUAUUUUUCUUCUUGUUUAAGAGCUUAUAUUUCUGUAAAGAAUGUGUAUGCUAUAUUUUUACAUUUUUCACUUCUGAAUAAGUAGUAGUAUAUGAAUCUUGCAUAAUAUAACCUGCUUUUCCAAGAGGCCUUUGUGUAUUAAAUUUUUUGUAUCUAUUAUCUAGAUUAAGCUUCAUCUAGAUAAUGCAAAAACCGACUCUGGUUAGUCUUCGCGGAAAUUUGCCUAAAGACUUAGAAGUCAUCGUCUGAUAGUUGCAGUAAAGUACCCCUUUUUUCUUUGUUGCUUAAUUAAAUACGAGACGGUCCUAUGAAGAAUAAUGGAGUUUCCCUCAUUAACUUAAUGUGAAAACUCAUGUGUAACUAACAAGUUUGAAAACAGCACAAGAGACAACUAAUCAAACACCAACUUGGAAAUUUCUCAUAAUAGCUUUUAGGAACGCUUUGUAUAAUCCAAUGUUUUUUUGAGCUAUUGACUUAGUACAACACAACAGGAAAAGGCUGCAUCCACCUGUGGGGCUCAUGUUGUUCAUGGGUUAUUUAUCAGUCUAGACCUUAGUGGUAGUUAUCUUUAUGGAACUGUAGAGAAUAGCAGAAGAAAAGUAUAAUCUGCUAGCCCAAGAUCAUUAACUAUAAAAGAUCGGAAUAUUCAACUAAAGAAGAGGAAGCUAGAAAGAACUUGUUUAUGGAAUAAGACUCUUUUAUUUGGGUUGUUCUUGAGUUGUAUACAAAUGACUGAGGCCACCCCUAUUUAUACUUAUGUGGGGAUGGUUCUAGACAUUACAAGAUCUAGACUAUUUUCUACAGUGAGUGUUACAUACGGGACCAAUUUCACAUCAUCUUGCGUAACAAACAAUGCAGAAAUAGUUAAUGACCUCGAAAUGAACAACAACAUCUUGAGAAAAUGAGGACAUAAGGGGUAUUAUUUUGUUAAGUCUUCUCCGUCCUCUAAAAAGUCUUGUGGAACACUACAAAAUAUGAAGUAACAAGUUGUUAGAAGUGAGUAGUACUCAUCCAUGGACCACAAGUUGUGUAGUUAGUGAUGCCAAGGUUGUAUUAUUUUUUCUCCCUUUAUGCCAAAGUUGGACAAAAUGAAUAUUGUAUAUAUAAUUGGUACUAUCAAACAAAAUUUGAAGACUUGAGUCUUUCUGGAAAAUGACUUAAAACACUUUGGACAACUUUUUUGCAAUCACAAAUUAGUUAGUGGUAGAUGUGGGGGCAAAUACCCCAUUUUAUUUGUCUGGAUAUGUUUCAUUCUCUUUUUCUAUUCACACUUUUACAGUAAAGAUGAAAGAGAAAAUAAUUUAUGUGUGAACAAAUUAAAUAUACCACAACAUGAUUUUCUUAAAAAUAAAAAAAAUAAAAAAAGUAAUUUUUGUACAAGUAGGGAUAUAUGUGAAGCCACUUUUGUAACAACGGGUAUAUUAACUCUAAAAUGACAAAGUUGAGGGAUAUAUCAUGCCCUUUUCCUUAAUGUGCCUUGCAAUGAUAACAAUAUAAGUUGAAUAGGAUACAGUUCACUACAAUUAUACCACAAAAACAACUUUUUUGAUGUAGUGUCGAUCACUACACCUUUAUCUUGAGUCGAGGGUCUACGAAAACAGCCUCUCUACUACUUUGGUUAUUCUCCAUCUCUUUCAUGUUUGAACUGUAUCAUAUAGAUGGAGUUUCCCUCAUUAACUAAAUGUGAAAAGUCUUGGAAAACAACACAAGAGACAACUAAUCGGAAAUUUCUCAUAAAAUUUCUAAUUAUGCAGGAAAUUAAGACACAUAUCAAACAAAAUUUUGAAUAAAAAGCAAAUAAAAAAAUUAAAAAAAAAUUCCACACGGUAUUAUUGUUCAUUUUUUUCCUCACUUGACUUAGUCAAGAAAUAGUUUCUCUCAUUGGAAAUUUCUUAGAAGUUCAGCAAAAAACAAUUCCACAUAAUGGGACCAAAUUCACAUCAUCUUGCCUAACACACACUGCAGCGAUAGUUAAUGACCUCAAAAUGAACUCAACAUCUAGAGAAAAUUAGGACAUAAAGAGUAUUAUUUCGUUAAGUCUUCUCCGUACUCUAAAAAGUAUUGUGGAACACUACAAUAUAUGAGUAACAAGUUGAUUUUUAAUACCAUUGUUUAAUCUCCUUAAUGUUUUGAGUAAGAUUUGAUUUUUUUUUUUACGCGAUGCGUGACGCCUAGGCAGACGUGCCCUGAGUAAGAUUUGGUUAUUCUAACUUUAUAUUAUAUUUUUUCAUUGAAUUUUUUUGUUGUUUGUACUCUUCCUUCAUAAAGGUCUGUGUAUAUCCUACCUUCUUGAAACUUUACUCGUAAGAUUACAUUAAUCAUUAUGUUAUAGGUAUUCAAUAUACAUAGGACACUUAGAACUAGUAUAUAUAUGUAUGGAUGAUACUGACUGAUUUGUAAGAAGAACACAUCCAUCCUGAACACAAACAAACAAAAAAUGGUCAUGAGUCUGUUUUUCUUUUAUUCAUUUCUAUGUUUUGUGUUUUUAUUAAGUGAAUGCUUUUCUUCAUCCUUUGAUCAUCAUCUUUGCUCUCCCACUGAAGUUUCUGCUUUGCUUCAGUUUAAGCAAUCCUUUAAAAUAUCUGAUUACUCUACUCUUCAGUGUGAUACUUCUUUCCCAAAAACAAAGUCUUGGAAUGAGAGUAGGGAUUGCUGCAGUUGGGAUGGAGUCACUUGUGACUUAUUAAACGGUCAUGUUAUCGGGUUAGACCUUAGCUGUAGUCAGCUUCGUGGAAGUAUUCAUCCCAAUAGCAGCCUCUUCCAACUUCAUCAUCUCCAAACACUAAACCUUGCUUACAAUAACUUUUCAACUUCUUCAAUCUCACAUAACAUUGGCCGAUUGAGGAAUUUGAGGCAUCUCAACCUUUCUAAUUCUUUCUUUAGUGGGAAAAUCCCAACAGAAAUCUCAUUCCUUUCCAAUUUGGUUUCACUUGAUCUUUCUUAUAGUUAUGGAUUACAACUUGAUGAGAGAACAUUUGAAACAAUGCUUCACAACUUUACAAAUCUGGAGGUACUAGCUCUCUUUCUUGGCAACAUCUCGUCACCGAUACCUGUAAGUAUUCAUCCCAAUAGCAGCCUCUUCCAGCUUCAUCAUCUCCACACACUAAACCUUGUUAACAAUUUCUUUUAUCCUUCUUCAAUCCCAAAUGGCAUUGGCCGAUUGAGGAAUUUGAGGCAUCUAAAACUCUAUGAAUUUCAAGGGAAAAUCCCAACAGAAAUCUCACACCUUUCCAAUUUGGUUUCACUUGAUCUUUCUUAUAGUUAUGAAAAAUUACAACUUGAUGAGAGAACAUUUGAAGCAAUGUUUCAGAACUUGACAAAUCUGGAGCUACUUUCUCUCUAUGGUGUCAACAUCUCAUCUCCGAUACCUGUUAAUAUUUCUUCAUCCUUAAGGUACCUGGAUCUUGGAUAUACUAAUCUGCGAGGUGUUCUCACAGAGAGCUUUUUCCUUGUGCCAAACUUGGAAAUACUCAAAUUGAGUGGGAAUGAUCUUGUCAAAGGAGUUUUUCCAAAGAUCCACUGGAGCAACACUCUGUUAAUGGAGUUGGAUAUUUCAUCCACAGGCAUCUCUGGUGAGGUGCCUGAUUCAAUUGGCACCUUCAGUUCCUUGAAUAUCUUGAACCUUGCAGGAUGCCAAUUCUCUGGUUCCAUUCCUGAUUCCAUUAGCAACCAAACACAAAUUAGGGAGUUGAUUUUAUAUCAUAAUCAUUUCACUGGCCAUAUUCCUUCCACAAUCUCUAAAUUGAAGCACCUCACACGUUUGGAUCUUUCAAUUAACUCCUUUUCAGGUGAAAUUCCUGAUGUUUUCUCAAACCUCCAAGAGCUACGUACUUUACAUCUUUCUUAUAACAGCUUCAUCGGUUCGUUUCCCGCUUCAAUUUUAAGUUUGACACAUCUUGAAUACUUAGGAUUGUCGAGUAAUUCCCUAUCUGGCCCACUGCCUAGCAACCAAAGCAUGCUUCAAAAGCUAACCGAACUGAAUUUGUCAUACAACUCACUGAAUGGUACCAUACCAUCUUGGGUGUUUAGCCUACCUUUGCUAUCUUCAGUGUCGCUCCAACAUAACCGAUUCAGAGGACUAGCCGAUGAAGUGAUCAAAACAAACCCAACAUUAAAACAACUGCAAUUAAGCAAUAAUCAACUCAGUGGUUCUUUUCCUCAAUCACUUGUGAAUCUCACAAACCUUGAAACCCUUGGAAUUUCAUCAAAUAACAUCACCAUUGAUGGGGGAAUGAAUAUCACCUUUCAUAGACUAUCAUCUUUAUUCUUAUCAUCUUGUGAACUGAAGGAUUUUCCACACUUCUUGAGAAAUGUAAAGACACUUGUGUACUUGGAUAUUUCUAACAAUAAGAUUUGUGGUCAAAUCCCUAACUGGUUUAGUGGCAUGAGGUGGGACUCGUUGCAGUUCCUAAACCUUUCUCAAAAUUCAUUAACAGGCCACCUACCACAAUUUCGUUACGAUAACCUACAGUAUCUUGAUCUGAAAUUUAACUACCUUCAGGGUCCACUAGCUUUAUCCAUUUGUAACAUGAGGAAACUUAUCUUAUUAGAUUUAUCACACAACUACUUCAGUGACUCAGUUCCACAUUGCUUGGGAAGCAUGCCUAAUCUAACGGUGCUGGACUUAAGAAGGAACAAUUUCACAGGGAGUCUUCCCCCAUUAUGUGCACACAGCACUUCGUUGAGUACCAUUGUCAUAAAUGGUAAUCCUUCCUGCAAAAGUUUUUGGAAACUUCAAGGCAAUGAUCAAAUUAGAUGACGAAGACACAAGAGAGAUCAAGUACAUGAAAUCUACGUUGAAUGCGUUAGUUGUCAGAUCGUAUGAGGAUUCGGUGAGUUUGGUGAUCAAAGGGCAGGAUAUUGAGCUAGAAAGAAUCAGCACAAUUAUGACAACCAUAGAUCUCUCCUGGAAUCGGCUCAUUGGAAAGAUUCCGCAGGAAUUGACAAGAAUGAACUUUCUGGCUUUCUUAAACCUCUCUCAAAACCAUCUUGUCGGACCAAUUCCUCACGGUCUACAAUUCAACACAUUUGAAAAUGACUCGUAUGGUGGCAACCUUGAUCUAUGUGGUCUUCCUUUGACAAAGAAAUGUGGAACGAGUGAUUCAUCGCAUGUUCCUCAACAAUUGGAGUCCGAAGAAGAAGAAGGCGAGUCAUAUUUUUUAGUGGAUUUACAUGGGAAUCAGUAGUCAUAGGCUACAGUUUUGGACUAGUUGUUGGAACUGUCAUGUGGAGUCUCAUGUUUAAAUAUCGUAAGCCAAAAUGGUUUGUGGAAUUUUUUGAUGGACUCAUGCCUCAGAAAAGAAGAAGGCCAAAGAAGAGAGCUCAGAGACGAAGGAUUUAAUGGAGGAUUGAUAGGGCUAAUUUGUCUUUGUUUGAUUUUGUGGACUAAUUAGUGAACUGUUCUGCUUUUCCCUCAUUAACUAAAUGCGAAAAGUCUUGAAAAAACAGCACAAGUAUAGAAGAAGCAUGAAAUAGAAAGAGUAGCAUUGCUUAAUCAUCUAGUACUGCUGUAGCUUAUGGUAAUCACUAGUAAUUGAUGAAUCACACUUCAAGCAUAUCAUGAAUUUGGCUUAAAGACUUAGAAGUCAUCGUCUGCUAGUUAAUACGAGAUGGUCCUAUAUAUGAAGAAUAAUGGAGUUUCCCUCAUUAACUUAAUGUGAAAAGUCUUGUGUAUCUAACAAGUUAGAAUGUUCAAAUACUUUUAACUAUAUAGUUUUAUUAUUAUUUUGUAUUCUUCUGCUUUGCGUAUCAUCGAGUUUCUCUUACAUACUCUGAUCCCUGAUUUUGUAAGAAUAGAACAUCCCGUUAUUUGGUGAAUACAAAAAAAGAGUCUCUUUUUCUUUUAUUCAUUUCUCUGUUUUGUGUUGCUAAUAAGUCUAUGCUUUUCUUCUUCCCUUUGAGCAUCAUUUUUGCUCUCCCAAGUAGACACUUUAAAACAAAUAUAAAACAUUACAUUUUAAAAUAAAAUGACAAAAGUGAAUAAAUUAAUCAGUGGAUUUACGUGGGAAUCAGUGGUCAUAGGCUACAUUUCACUACAAGUCUACGAUAAAAAAUAACUUUAGCAGGCAAUAAAUAUACACAUUAACAAAGAGUGACUAAAACCUUUACUGGUAUUAAUUAAUUGUCAUUAGAUUCAAUGUCUCUAUAGGCUUUAGGGACACUUAUAAAAAGUGCUAAUUGCCUCUAAAAAUACAUGUUUAGUAGCGAUUAAGCUAUAGCCGUUAAUUAAUUACCCCUAAAGAUCAUUUUUGAUGUAGUGUAGAUCACUACACCUUUAUCUUGAGUCGAGAGUCUAUGGAAACAACACAAGAGACAACUAAUCGUCUAGAGAAAAUGAGUACAUAGGGGGUAUUAUUUUAUUAAGUCUUCUCCAUCCUCUAAAAAGUCUUGUGGAACACUACAAAAUAUGAAGUAACAAGUUGCUAGAAGUAAGUAGUACUCAUCCUGUAAUUCAAUUGUUCAUCAGUCCCGAUUCAUCAUAAUCUUUUUUUUUCCUCUAGUCUUAGUGGAAAUUGGCUCAAAGGCUUACAAGUCAUCGUCCGCUAGUUACAAUACUGUAUCACUUUUUUCCUUAGGUGGAAUAGAAUAUUGAUGGAUUUUCCCUCAUUAACUUAAAAAUGUGAAAACUAUAGUGUACCUAACAAGUUUGAAAAUAGCAGAAUUGACAACUAAUUACUAACUUGGAAUAUUGACAUUUUAUGAUUGUAUAAAUUCCAUAGAAAAAUUGCAUACAAAUUUAUUGCAUUCUCAUAAUUGGUUUCUCUAUUAACUGUUCUCAUAAUUGGUUCAAUGACACGUCUUGACAUUUUAUGAUUAUAUAAAUUCCGUAAAAAAAUGCACUAAAAUUUACUGCAUUCAUACAACUUGGUUUCGCUUGAUUAAAGUGUCCCUUCUUGUCUUAUGGAAGAUGAAAUGGAGUAACAUCAUGUCUUUAUUGUUCAUUUAUUAUUAUUUUUUUCUCAAUUGACUUGGUCAUACAAUAGUUUCUCUCUUUGAAAUGUAUUGUGGGAAACAGAAGAAGAGAUGUUGAUGGAAAGUUAGACAAGAAUGACUUAAAAUAGGAGUUCAAAUUUCUAUCUAUCCNNNNNNNNNNNNNNNNNNNNNNNNNNNNNNNNNNNNNNNNNNNNNNNNNNNNNNNNNNNNNNNNNNNNNNNNNNNNNNNNNNNNNNNNNNNNNNNNNNNNNNNNNNNNNNNNNNNNNNNNNNNNNNNNNNNNNNNNNNNNNNNNNNNNNNNNNNNNNNNNNNNNNNNNNNNNNNNNNNNNNNNNNNNNNNNNNNNNNNNNNNNNNNNNNNNNNNNNNNNNNNNNNNNNNNNNNNNNNNNNNNNNNNNNNNNNNNNNNNNNNNNNNNNNNNNNNNNNNNNNNNNNNNNNNNNNNNNNNNNNNNNNNNNNNNNNNNNNNNNNNNNNNNNNNNNNNNNNNNNNNNUAUUAUUAAGUAUGUUAAAAUAUAAUUAUUAAAAGAUAAAUUAAAAUUAUAAAACCACAAAUACCUAAUAAGAUGUACUAUCAAUUAUUGGUUAUAACUUUCUUGCACUUUAAUUUAAAUUAUAGAUUUAUUUAUAUUUUCAAUUAUUUUUUUAUAAGAACUUUUUAUGUAUAAUAUAAAUUUUGUCUACGUUUAAUAUGCUUAGCUAUGGAUAUUAUCUCAUAGAAAGUGUAAGCAUAAAAUUUUCAUGAUAUGUUGGGUGGUGGUGAUUUAUUUUAAAUAUAUAGUUUCACUUUUUAAGAGUUAAAUCAAAUGAACUUUAGCCAACAUUUAAGAUAUAUUUUUCUACCUUAUUGAUAUAACAUGAAAAGAUUAGCAUUUAUAAUGCUACGACUAAACACAAGUAGAAUAAAAUUUCAAAGAGCAACAAUAAAUGGGUGGGCACCAACAAAUUCAACUGGGCACUCUGAGUGGGGGAAUUAUAAUUGUGUUCAAGUGGUAUGUGAUAAAUCGUACAUAUGCUUCGUCAAUCAGCGGGAACCAACAAUCUAGUGAGAAAUUUCUCAAACCAGUCAUUCUUUUACAUGGAGAACCCACACUGGUGUUUGACUCCAAAGACAUAGAAGCGUUUAUCACGGAGGAGAAUUUAAAAUACGCUCUCAUUGCCAAAUUCUCACAUGGAAGGCCUGAACUUCCAGAUUUACCGAAAAUAUUGUCUCAACAAUUAGGAUUUAAGGGUGAAUGUAACAUUGGGUUAUUAGAAAGUCGGCACGUGUUGCUGUGGUUCACUUUAAAGGAAGAUUAUAUUGCAAUCUUUUCAAAAACUAGUAGGUCGAUUAAGUUCGCUGGUACUGUUAUACCAUUCAGAAUCCAAAAGUGGACUCCCUCUUUUAGUCCUAGGGAAGAAACCUCCAUUGCAAUGGCGUGGAUUUCUUUCCCAAGUUUACCCUGUCAAUAUUUUGCUUGUAAUGCUCUGUUUUCUAUGGCUUCGGCAGUUGGACAACCUCUUGAUGUGGAUUGAGCGACCUAUGAUAAAACACGACCUAGUACUGCAAGGGUAAAAGUCGUGGUGGAUCUUUUAAGGAUCCUUCCAAAAAGAAUUAGAGUUCAAUUCAAAGAUUUAGUCACUGGCGAAAUUACAAACGUAUGGCAAAAAAUCAGGUAUGAUUAUGUACCAUAUUAUUGUAAGAGAUGUAAUCAUCAGGGGCAUAGAGAAGCUGAUUGUCGAACUCUCCGAUGGUCAAGUUGAUGCCAUGGUCAGUGAAAAUCAUAUUGAAGGAGAAAAAUUUCAAGGAGAUCUUCAUGAUCAUCUCAAUUCCUAAAAAACUGAUUUAAACAGGCUGGAAAUUGGUGAAAAGGAUGAUGAAGAAACUGUUAAAGAUUUAGAUGUAGGGGCUGAAAAGAGUGGUGUUCAAAAUCAAAAUUUGGUGCGCCAAAAUUCUGGCCAGCGCCAAGGCAAAGCAAUGUUGGACGACUAUUCUUCAGGGAAUCAAGUAUUAUCCUUAAUUCCUCAAACUGGUGAGUCUUCGCGGCAAAGUUGUAAUUCAGUUGAUCAUGUCUUUAAUUAUUCUUUCAUUUUUUUUCCUCACUUGACUUAGUCAAGCAAUAGUUUCUCUCAUUGGAAAUUUCUUACAAGUUUUGCAGAAUUUUUUUCUACAUAAUGGGACCAAUUUCACAUCAUCUUGCGUUAGUAACACACAACAGAGAGAUAGUUAAUGACUUCGAAAUGAAUACAACAUCAGAGAAAAUUAGGACAUAGGGAGUAUUAUUUUGUUAAGUCUUCUCCGUCCUCUUACAAGUCUUGUGGAACAUUACAAAAUAUGAGUAACAAGUUGUUAGAAGUGACUAGUACUCAUCUUGUAAUUCAAUUGUUCAUCAGUCCCGAUUCAUCAUAAUCUUUUUUGUUCCUCUAGUCUUAGUGGAAAUUGGCUCAAAGGCUUACACGUCAUCGUCCGCUAGUUACAAUACUGUAUCACUUUUUUCCUUAGGUGGAAUCGAAUAUUGAUGGAUUUUCCCUCAUUAACUUAAAAAAUGGGAAAACUAUUGUGUACCUAACAAAUUUGAAAAUAGCAGAAGAGACAACUAAUUAUUAACUUGGAAUAUUGACCUUUUAUGAUUGUAUAAAUUGCAUAGAAAAAUUGCAUACAAAUUUUAUUGCAUUCUCAUAAUUGGUUUCUCUAUUAACUGUUCUCAUAAUUGGUUCAAUGGCGCGUCUUGACUUUUAUGAUUUUAUAGAUUUCGUGGAAAAAUUACACUAAAAUUUAUUGCAUUCAUACAAGUUGGUUUUGUUUGAUUAAAGUUUCCCUUCUUGUCAUAGGGAAGAUAAAAUAGAGUAACAUCAUGUCUUUAUUGCUCAUUUAUUUUUAUUUUUUUGUCAAUUGACUUGGUCAUACAAUAGUUUCUCUCUUUGAAAAGUAUUGUGGAAAACAGAAGAAGAGAUGUUGAUGGAAAGUUAGACAAGAAUGACUUAAAAUAGGAGUUCAAAUUCCUACCUAUCCAUCUAUACUAAUGUUAAAUUGCUAUAAUAUUUUCAACUUAAAAACUACUUAAUUUAGUAUAUUUUCUAUAAUUUAUAAUAUGUUAUAUUAUAUUUAUUUAUUUAAUUUAAAAUAUAGCGUAUUACAUGAUUUAGCAUUCACGUGCAAUGCACGUGCAUCAAAGCUAGUACUAUCUUAAAAACUAUGUUACUAGAUUAUUUUAAAAUGUCAACAGGUACAUGUUAGAUUCUUCAAAAGUUAUGUAUUUUUUAAGGAACCAACAUUGGUGCAACAUCAUCACAUUUUUGGAGAGCCUGAGCAACAUAUACAAGAAAAUUGGAAAAAGAAGUGCAAUAAGCAUAUAGAGUUUGGUUCAUGAUUGAAAUUACUUGAUAUUAGAAAGUUAACAUUUGUGAAAAUUGAUGUUGAAGAGUAGUCAAAACUACAGAAAUGGCUAAUAAUGGGCAAAAUGCUCUCUGGAAUUGGCUCACUGGAAAGAUUCCAAGGGAACUGACAAGACUACAAUUCGAGGCAGACUAAAAACUCUCUCUCAAUGUUCUUAUCAGACCGAUUGCUGUUCCUCAUCUAUUGGAGUCCGAAGAAGAGUCGUAUUUUGCUAGUGGAUUUACGUGGGAAUCAGUGGUCAUAGUUGUGGAUUAGUUGUUGCAACUGUCAUGUGGAGCCUCAUGUCUAAAGCUAAAAUGAAUUGUGGAAUUUUUUGAAGCCAUCUAUAAAAGCAAAAGACAGAAACCUGUGAUCCUUCAAUACAAUUAGUCUCUCAUCAGUUUUCUUUGCUUGUGCAUCAUUUUUUUAUUUGAUCACUACACCUUUGUCUUGAGUCGAGGGUUUACGGAAACAGCCUCUGGUUAUUUUCCAUCACUGUGUAUCAUAUAGAUGGAAUUUCCCUCAUUAACUAAAUGUGAAAAGUCUUGAAAAAACAGCACAAGAAUAGAAGAAGCAUGAAAUAGAAAGAGUAGUAUUGCUUAAUCAGCUAGUACUGUAGCUUAUCGUAAUCACUAGUAAUUGAUGAAUCACACUGCAAGCAUAUCAUGAAUUUGGCUUAAAGACUUAGAAGUCAUCGUCUGCAUGUUAAUACGAGACGGUCCUACGAAGAAUAAUGUAAAAAGUCUUGUGUACCUAACAAGUUAGAAUGUUCAAAUACUUUUAACUAAAAUCUAUCUACAGUUUUAUUAGUAUUUUGUAUUCUUCUGCUUUGUGUAUCAUCGAGUUCUCUUACAUACUCUGAUCCCUGAUUUUGUAAGAACAGAACAUCCUAUUAUUUGGUGAAUACAAAAAAAGAGUCUCUUUUUCUUUUAUUCAUUUCUCUCUUUUGUGUUGCUAAUAAGUCUAUGCUUUUCUUCUUUCCUUUGAGCAUCAUUUUUGCUCUCCCAAGUAGGCACUUUAAAACAAAUAUAAAACAUUACAUUUUAAAAUAAAAUGACAAAAGUGAAUAAAUUAAUCAGUGGUCAUAGGCGACAUUUCACUACAAGUGUACGACAAAAACAACUUUUAGCAGCAAUAAACGUACUGUCACGCCCCGAGCCUACACCCUGGGUGUGGCCGGCACUCGGAGACCAUAGCUGGCCCCAAGCGAACACUUGGCCUGGCUUUCUUAACUCAGCGGAAACCUAACUCAACAGAAUAACUCAACUGAUAAAAUCUGGCCAAAAAGGCAACUCGAGUCUCAAAAUAGAAUAUUUAUAUAUAUAUAUAAAUGAGAGACUCAAUACUAACUGACUGACUGUCUAUGAAGCCUCUAUAAUACUGAGAUGGAUGUUGGGACAGACCCCGCAACAUCCUAAUAAAACAAAACUAAGAGAAACAAAAUAACCGAGUCCUCCGGAAAACAAGGAGGCUCACCACAGACUCUGGAGUGCUCAACUGGAUCAACGGCGUGCUGGAUGCUGAUCCUAGGUACCUGUGUCUACAUCAUAAAAAAAUGCAGGUCAACUGGCAUCAGUACAUGGAAUGUACGAGUAUGUGAGCUGGACCGCUAAACAACAACUUAAGCUUGAAAAGGGGUAUAAAAGAGAACUUACCUUGGCUUUAUUCAACUCAUGAAUAACUGAACUCAAUAUAAAGCAAUAAGACACAUGAAAUAUAUAUAGCUUGCAAAACUAUUUAAAACAUGACGUCAAAAUCAUAUUUAUAAUAUCAUAAAAAUACCAUGCUUCCUCUCAAAGUCUACUUGUGCAAUGCAUGAAUGAAGUCCCAUACCCCCAUCCAUACUAAGCAGAACCCCUCGAGGAACCAUGCAAUUUCUACUGUGGGAGUUUCUCUAACCGACAACCACCACUAUGACCUAAGUGGUGACACAACGUCUUGUCCACGCUGCCAGAACUGUUCUAUACUUUGUCGUUAUAUAGAACUACUUAACUUUAACUUAGUGGAUCCACUAGCUUAACUUACGUGAUCAUCUAAAAAGUAUGACCCGUUAAAUCCCAUGUUGGCCACAUGGUUCUUAUGGAGAGUUGAGUUAAUAUGAACUCGUGUCCCCAAUUCGGUGCUCAAGACUACUCCCAAAAAUAUACUUUAGCCCAUAUGUUUUAAAAACAAACUUCUUUCUCUAAUUUGAAUUACUUGCGCAAACUACCCUCUUAAAAGAGGUAAUUGCUCUUGAAAACUCUUUCUAAAAAGAACAUAUCAAAACCAUAUUUUUAUAUGAUCAUUGAUGACUCGGGAAGUCAUACUGCAUAAACAUUGAUGGUAUAUCUAGAGACCAUACUGUUUAAACAUUGAUGACAUACUCGAUUUUUCAUACUAAUCAUGUUUUAGAAACUCUUUCGCAAAACUCAUCUUUUUCUUAAAGGAGAUAGUACUCAAACUGCUCAAAACUCUUUUGGAAAUCUCAAUUUCCUCUCAUCUUAAAUGUGAAAACAUUUAUAAACUUAUUUGGGAAUACUUAGUUCCCUAAUAACUUUUGAGAAAUGAACUUGACUCUAUACUCUUUAAUUAACUUGAAACUCUAUACUCUUUACUUAACUUAAAACUGUAUACUCUUUACUUAAGUUGAAACUUGAGUUUUAAAAUGAAGUUAAAACGUUUAAUAACGACUCUUGAAAAACUUUGAAAACUUGCUUUGACUCGCUUCUUAACUUCUAGACUUGACCCUUAACUUCACUUUGACUUGAUCCUAACUCGCCUUGAAUUGGAUUAUGGAUUCAAGGUAUAUGAUAACAUGUUUAUGGAUGAAUUCUUGACGUUUAGACAUACCUUGGAGUAUUAGAAACAACUAUAAAACAUAGGUACAAUACUAAGGAACAUGCAUGAAAAAGUGGGGAAUGAAUGGGAAAGGUUGGCGUCCUUGGCACUCUGAGAGGCGCGGGGCGCUAGACCACAAAGCUCAGAAGGGCAGUUGGGACGCACUUCUAGGCGCGCCCCCCAAGGAGAGAAGUUCAAAACACUUCUUGGGGCGCUCUGCAAGGCGCGACGCGCCACCCCUUUUCCCCAAAAACUCGACUUUUUUCCUUCAUUUCUCCAACUCUAAACCUUCUCAACCUCAAAGUUUCCAGCCCCAAACACUUAAUAUCAUAAGACCCCUCAACAUACAAUAGAUUUAACCCGGAAACACAACCGGAAGCAUGUCCCAAAUCAACAAGGAACUUCAACAACACAAUCAACAACAUCAACAAUACAACCAACAACUUCAACAACACAACCAAUCUUUUCUCGGAAAUAAAACGAUUUUGGUGUGUGGGGGAAAGAACCAACCCAACACUAUGAACUCACAUACCUAGUAGGGAUCACCCCCGACGAUAUCCACGACGAUCUUUGACGAAACCUUGCUUGAUCUUGUCUUUCUUCUCCUCUUCACUCACAAACCCUCACUCUCACUCUUUUAAAAAGGGAAAACUGAUCUAAAAAUCAGUCUAACACAUUAAUAUAACCAAAAGAAUUGGUUAGGGAAAAGACCAAAAUACCCUUACAAAUUUCCGGGCGGACCUUCCCUGCCAACUGCCCAACUUCCAAAAGGCAUAACUCACUCAUACGAACUCGGAAUCAAGUAAAAUUGGCGGCGAUGAAAAGAUCAUUCCAUGAGCUUCGCAAACAUAACUGGAACUACACCUAACUCAUCAUGAGCUAGGAGUUAUGACUGUUCAAAGUUGGUCAAAACUCACCUUUUUUCUACACUUGUCCAAAUUUCCAGAUUUUUAAAUUCUUUCCAAAAAUGACUAUCUCCAAUUCUAAGCCUCUUCAUAGUUAUUUCAAAUUGCCGGAUGUUACAAAUACACAUUAACAAAGACUGCUAAAACCUUUACUUGUAUUAAUUAAUUAUCAUUGGAUUCAAUGUCUCUAUAGGCUUUAGGGACACUUACAAAAAGUGCUAAUUGCCGCUAAAAAUACAUGUUUAGUAGCGAUUAAGCUAUAGCCGUUAAUUAAUUACCCCUAAAGAUCAUUUUUGAUGUAGUGUAGAUCACUACACCUUUAUCUUGAGUCGAGGGUCCACUACUAGAAAACUGUAAAUUACCUGGGAAUUUCAUUUGGAGAUUAUUUUCGCAGAAAUUUCCUAUGAAUUUUCAUGCGGAAAUAUGAAAUUCCUAAAUUCUAGACUUCUCUACAUGCGAAAAAUAAUUUCCCUGAAAAAUUGGUAGGUAACUUUGGCGCCAUUUUUACAAAAUUAUUACCUAUGGAAUUAUUUGGGAAAAAUAAUUUGCAAGUAGCAUUUUCAUAGGUAAAUUCACAAGUAAUAAAAAAAUUUAUUUUUUUAGUAUGUUUGCAAGAAAAUUCCUAGAAAAACAUAUUUGCAGAUUUAGCUAGAAAUAAUUACUUGAAAAUUUAUUUGCAAAUAAUUUUAUACGUGUUAUUACUUGGGGAUUUUAUUGUUGUGACUUUGGUUGAAGAUUUUUAGAGGAAUGCAUACUUGAAUUUUUUUAAAUACAAUUUAAUUGGAAGUAUUUUCUUGGAAUCUAAGGAUUUUUUUAUUUGGAGUCUUCAAGAAAUAUUUUCUUUAAAAUAUAUUUAACAAAAUCUAAAACUAUAAUAAUAUAAAAAAUAACAAUGACAUUAGAAUGAAUUUUAUUGUUAAAUAUAUACUCUACUUUUAGAUUACAUAAAUUAUUAUACAAUAAUAUCAAUCUAACACUAUAUUGGAACAUUACCACAAAUGUCAUGAACAAUAUUUUUAACUUAUAUAUAGUUACAAUAUUUAGUCCUAAAAACCAAUGAUGCGAUAUUUUUUUUUUGAAAGAUACAAAAGCAUUAAAAAUUAUAUGGCUAGUUAUUUAUCCUUAGAAAAAUAACUAUCAUAAAUAUAUUUAUUUUUGAUUAGAUAUUACUUUAUAUUAAAUUUCGUAUUAUUGAAUAAGUCAAUCACUGUUUAAGUAGAGUAAAAUUAAAUUAUAUACAUUAUUAAUGUGAAUUUUAAUCAACCCCUAGUUUAUAGAAUUAUAUUAAAUGAAAAAUAAAUAAAAUUUUAACUAUAUAUCAAAUUUAUAUUUUUUUUUUCUUACAAGCAUUAAAUAUGAUAUAAUUUCUCUAUAGUAAGUUAUUAAAUGUUAUUUAUUUGCAAAUAUUUAUUAUUAAGUAUGUUAAAAUAUAAUUAUUAAAAGAUAAAUUAAAAUUAUAAAACCACAAAUACCUAAUAAGAUGUACUAUCAAUUAUUGGUUAUAACUUUCUUGCACUUUAAUUUAAAUUAUAGAUUUAUUUAUAUUUUCAAUUAUUUUUUUAUAAGAACUUUUUAUGUAUAAUAUAAAUUUUGUCUACGUUUAAUAUGCUUAGCUAUGGAUAUUAUCUCAUAGAAAGUGUAAGCAUAAAAUUUUCAUGAUAUGUUGGGUGGUGGUGAUUUAAUUUAAAUAUAUAGUUUCACUUUUUAAGAGUUAAAUCAAAUGAACUUUAGCCAACAUUUAAGAUAUAUUUUUUACCUUAUUGAUAUGACAUGAAAAGAUUAGCAUUUAUAAUGCUACGACUAAUUAAACACAAGUAAAAUAAAAUUUCAUGUUGGUAAGUUUUAAUGAAAAAAAUCAAUUAAAUAGAUUGAAGACUUUGUAAGUGAAACACUCAUAGUUGAGUGACUUUGUAAGUGAAACACUCAUAGUUAAGUGACUUUUGAGUUAAAAAUCAAAGUUGAGUGACUUUCUGAGAAAAAAACUCAUAGUUGAGUGACUUUGAAGUUAAAAACCAAAGUUGAGUGUCUUUCUAAGAAAAUAGUACAUAGUUGAAUGACCUUAUGAGAUAUUAAAAAUUUAGACACAUAUCAAACAAAAUUUUGAAUUAAAAGCAAAUAAAAGAAUAAAAAUAAAAAUUCCACACGGUAUUAUUGUUCAUUUUUUCCUCACUUGACUUAGUCAAGAAAUAGUUUCUCUUAGAAGUUCUGCAUAAUUUUUUUCUACAUAAUGGGACCAAUUUCACAUCAUCUUAUGUAACACACUGCAGAGAUUGCUAAUAACCUCCAAAUGAACACAACAUCUAGAGAAAAUGAGGGCAUAUGGAGUAUUAUUUUGUUAAGUCUCCUCCGUCCUCUAACAAGUCUUGUAGAACACUACAAAAUAUGAGUAACAAGUUGUUAGAAGUGAGUAGUACUCUUCUUGUGAUUCAAUUGUUCAACAAUCUCGAUUUAUCAUAAUCUUUUUCCCCUUCUAGUCUGUUGUGAUCAUGGAUAGCCGAGAAGUUAGACAACUUGUUGGGCCCGAGGCUAAACCACGAAGUGGAUAAGACAGCCCAACAAUAGGUUUGCUUGGAAUCCAGGUUGAGUACAAAUAAAAGGGUAAUCACUGUGGUUUUGGGAGUUUAUGCAGAUUGUGAAAGAAAUUGUUUGUUCCUCCCAUCUCUUUCUAGAGUCUAAGCUUUUCAUCCACAUUUUUAUCUCUAUCUUUAGUUACUUGUUAUUUAAGUAUUUUCCUUUGUAAUUCUAUAGUUGAAGUGUUGCCGUCGUGAUUUGUCUAUCAGUGAUUACAUAUUACUUGAGUAUUUGAGUUGCGAAUUUAGAUUCGUUACAUAGUCUUUGAGGAAAUUGGCUUAAAGGUUUACAAGUCAUCGUCCGCUAGUUACAUUACUACAUCCUUUAUUUCCUUAGGUGGAAUGGAAUAUUGAUGGAUUUUCCCUUGUUAACUAAAUGUGAAAACUAUUGUGUACCUAACAAGUUUGAAAAUAGCAGAAGAGACAACUAAUCACUAACUCAGAAUAUUGACCUUUUAUGAUGGUAUAGAUUCCAUGGAGCUUGGUUUCCUCUAUUCCAAACGUACCAUAACUGUUGUCAUAAUUGGUGUCCCUUCUUGUCACAUGGAAGAUGAAAUGGAGUAACAUCAUGUCUUUAUUGCUCAUUUAUUUUUAUUUUUCUCAAUUGACUUGGUUAUACAAUAGUUUCUCUCUUUGAAAAGUAUUGUGGAAAACAGAAGAAGAGAUGUUGAUGGAAAGCUAGACAAGAAUGACUUAAAAUAGGAGUUCAAAUUUCUACCUAUCCAUCUAUACUAAUGUUAAAUUGCUAUAAUAUUUUCAACUUAAAACACUUAAUUUAGUAUAUUUUUUAUAAUUUAUAAUAUGUUAUAUUAUAUUUAUUUAUUUAAUUUAAAAUAUAGUGUACUACAUGAUUUAGCAUUCAUGUGCAAUGCACGUGCAACAAACCUAGUACUAUCUUAAAAACUAUGUUACUUAGAUUAUUUAAAAAUGUCAACAGGUACGUGUUAGAUUCUUCAAAAGUUAUGUAUUUUUUAAGAAAUCAACAUUGGUGCAACAUCAUCAUCUUUUUGGAGAGCCUGAGCAACAUAGUUCAUUUAUACAAGAAAAUUGGAAAAAGAAGUGCAAUAAGCAUAUAGAAGAAGCAUGAAAUAGAAAGAGUAGCAUUGCUUAAUCAGCUAGUACUGUAGCUUAUCGUAAUCACUAGUAAUUGAUGAAUCACACUUGAAGCAUAUCAUGAAUUUGGGUUAAAGACUUAGAAGUCAUUGUCUGCUAGUUAAUACGAGACGGUCCUAUAUAUGAAGAAUAAUGGAGUUUCCCUCAUUUUUGCUCUCCCAAGUAGGCACUUUAACAAUUCAAAAUUUAAACAAAUAAAAACUCGAUUUUACCUUUGACACACGUGAAUUGCACGCAUUUUACCAAGUAGGAUUUGAGUGUUUAUUUAUCAAGUAGGAUUCGAUCUUGGCUCACUUUGGCAACUCAAUUUAUCUCACAACGAUCCCAGAGAAGAUAUCCCAACGGAACUGGGACAAAUGAAUACGCUUUUAAGUUCUAGAUUUCUCAUGGAAUUGGCUCACUUGAAAGACUCCAAGGGAACUGACAAGACUAAAAAAUUUGCCAGAUUUUGUUGGUAUAAUAUACCACAAAUAUAAAACAUUAUAUUUUAAAAUAAAAUGACAAAAGUGAAUAAAUUAAUCAGUGAAUUUACGUGGGAAUCAGUGGCCAUAGGCUACAUUUCACUACAAGUCUACGACAAAAACAACUUUUAGCAGCAAUAAAUAUACACAUUAACAAAGAGUGCUAAAAUUUUACUGGUAUUAAUUAAUUGUCAUUGGAUUCAAUGUCUCUAUAGGCUUUAGGGACACUUACAAAAAGUGUUAAUUGCCGCUAAAAAUACAUAUUUAGUAGCGAUUAAGCUAUAGCCAUUAAUUAAUUACCCCUAAAGAUCAUUUUUGAUGUAGUGUAGAUCACUACACCUUUAUCUUGAGUCGAGGGUCCACUACUAGAAAACUGUAAAUUACCUGGAAAUUUCAUUUGGGAAUUAUUUUCGCAGAAAUUUCCUAUGAAUUUUCAUGCGGAAAUAUGAAAUUCCUAAAUUCUAGACUUCUCUACAUGCGAAAAAUAAUUUCCCAGAAAAAUUGGAAGAUAACUUUAGCGCCAUUUUUACAAAAUUAUUACCUGGGGAAUUAUUUGGGAAAAAUAAUUUGCAAGUAGCAUUUUCAUAGGUAAAUUCGCAANNNNNNNNNNNNNNNNNNNNNNNNNNNNNNNNNNNNNNNNNNNNNNNNNNNNNNNNNNNNNNNNNNNNNNNNNNNNNNNNNNNNNNNNNNNNNNNNNNNNNNNNNNNNNNNNNNNNNNNNNNNNNNNNNNNNNNNNNNNNNNNNNNNNNNNNNNNNNNNNNNNNNNNNNNNNNNNNNNNNNNNNNNNNNNNNNNNNNNNNNNNNNNNNNNNNNNNNNNNNNNNNNNNNNNNNNNNNNNNNNNNNNNNNNNNNNNNNNNNNNNNNNNNNNNNNNNNNNNNNNNNNNNNNNNNNNNNNNNNNNNNNNNNNNNNNNNNNNNNNNNNNNNNNNNNNNNNNNNNNNNNNNNNNNNNNNNNNNNNNNNNNNNNNNNNNNNNNNNNNNNNNNNNNNNNNNNNNNNNNNNNNNNNNNNNNNNNNNNNNNNNNNNNNNNNNNNNNNNNNNNNNNNNNNNNNNNNNNNNNNNNNNNNNNNNNNNNNNNNNNNNNNNNNNNNNNNNNNNNNNNNNNNNNNNNNNNNNNNNNNNNNNNNNNNNNNNNNNNNNNNNNNNNNNNNNNNNNNNNNNNNNNNNNNNNNNNNNNNNNNNNNNNNNNNNNNNNNNNNNNNNNNNNNNNNNNNNNNNNNNNNNNNNNNNNNNNNNNNNNNNNNNNNNNNNNNNNNNNNNNNNNNNNNNNNNNNNNNNNNNNNNNNNNNNNNNNNNNNNNNNNNNNNNNNNNNNNNNNNNNNNNNNNNNNNNNNNNNNNNNNNNNNNNNNNNNNNNNNNNNNNNNNNNNNNNNNNNNNNNNNNNNNNNNNNNNNNNNNNNNNNNNNNNNNNNNNNNNNNNNNNNNNNNNNNNNNNNNUUUUCCUCACUUGACUUAGUCAAGAAAUAGUUUCUCUCAUUGGAAAUUUCUUAGAAGUUCUGCAAAAAAAAUUUCCACAUAAUGGGGCCAACUUCACAUCAUCCUGCCUAACACACACUGAAGCGAUAGAUAAUGACCUCGAAAUAAACUCAACAUCUAGAGAAAAUUAGGACAUAGAGUCUUAUUUUGUUAAGUUUUCUCCGUCCUCUAGAAAGUCUUGUGAAACACUACAAAAUAUGAGUAACAAGUUGUUAGAAGUGAGUAGUACUCAUCCAUGGACCACAAGUUGCGUAGUUAGUGAUGCGAAAGUGGUACUAUCUACCAACACUGACUUAAAGACUUGAGUUAACACUUGGGACAACUCUUUUUGCAACCACAAAUUAGUUAGUACCCCAUUUUAUACCUCAUAGUCUCAUGCAUAGAUAAGUCAACCACGUUACUUUAUCAAAUAGUGUUUAGUUAAUUGCUCGUUGUAAUAAUUAAGNNNNNNNNNNNNNNNNNNNNNNNNNNNNNNNNNNNNNNNNNNNNNNNNNNNNNNNNNNNNNNNNNNNNNNNNNNNNNNNNNNNNNNNNNNNNNNNNNNNNNNNNNNNNNNNNNNNNNNNNNNNNNNNNNNNNNNNNNNNNNNNNNNNNNNNNNNNNNNNNNNNNNNNNNNNNNNNNNNNNNNNNNNNNNNNNNNNNNNNNNNNGUUCGAGGUUCUUAUUAAUAUUCUAGGAAGGUUUUAAACGCAUCUAGAAUAUCCACUAAUGUGGUUAUCCGACGAUUAAUUUUUUUGGCUAAAAUAAUUUAACUUAGCUUGAAUUGCAAAAUUGAACUAUUAUAUAGUUGGGACCAUUUUAAGAGAAAAAUAUCAAAAUACUAAAAAAUAAAUUUAUCCAAGUGAAAUAUUUUGUAAACUUAUUUAUUUUAUUUAUUUAUUUAUUUUUAGGUCAAGUAGGAGAUGAAUAGUUUAGUUUAAAUAAUUAACUCAAAAUGGGUGUCUUUUGGGGGGUUUGAAUGUUUGAAACCUUAAAAUCAAUAUCAAUUAUUAACAAAUAAAUAAACACAAUAAAAUAAAGAGAGAGAAUUAGGCCCAAGUCUGGAUUUCCUGUCCGUCUGGGCCAGUACUUGGGCCUAAUUUCAGUUUUGGGCCCUUGGCCCAUUUAAGUCAUUUGUACCUGUCCUAUUCUAACAUAAUAGAACUAUUUUCCAUUUGGGGGCCUUAGGCCCAAUUCUUCCACCUGUUCAAACUAGCACAAUAAUUGCAAAUAAAAUGACAAGGGCUUAGGCCCAAAAAAUAACAAAAUACAACUUCUUAAAGAAGAGUGGGCCUCUUUAAGGCCAUUUUCUCAUUUUUCGUAUACACUAGGUGUAUACUAGUGUAUACAAUCUCGUAUCAGCUCCAAACCCUGUUCAUCAAAUUUUUGGGACCCCUCCUUCAAUUGCUAUGGUUGGUUGACUCGAUAAAGGAUUUUUGGGGCACUCGUGGCCCCCUUUGGAAUGCAAAGGUUGAGUCCAUGAGGACUUGGGCAUAUUUCACAUGAAAAGACACAUAAAUAAGAAUUAGCACCUUAUUAUAGGUUGAUGAAAGUAAUUAUGAAUUGAUUAAUAUUAGACUCAAACUUAAACAAGUUCCAAUAGAGUAGUAAAUCCACGGUGAUUAUGCAAACGAAGCCUUAUCACAUUACUCAACUAACAUGAAAGACAUGGUAACCUCUCAAUUAAUAUAAACUCAAGUUUCCUUUCAAAAAGUAUGAAAAUAAAAAAAAAGUAAAGCAUUAGAAGGAGACAGUAGCUAUGAUGUCAAAUAAUUAAGUGGCUAAAAUUCUAAAGAAAAAUUAUUCUGAUUAUGAAUCUACACCCAGAUGUAGCAUCUAUGAUAAACACACUUGUCACAUAAUUAAAUAUAGUCCACACAUUUCAAAAAUAAUAAUAAAUAAAUAAAUUAGGAGAAUACUUCAACUUUGCAUAUAUCUAAAAAAAAAACAAAGGAAGAGAAAAUCAAUAAGGAUUAAAUCGACUAAUACAUAGACUCUUUUUUUUAAAAAAUAAAAUAAAAUAAAAUAAAGAAAUAAGAUAAAAAUAAAUAAAUAAAUAAACAAGAGCUAAUUGAUUACAUACAAACGAAACGAAACGGUUAACAUGCUAGACUCAGUUUAAGCUUGACUAAAAAAUUUCUGAAUAGACGAUUUACCACAGAUUUAGUGCAUAUUGCAAAACCAAUGAGGUAGGACACUUUAUCCAUGGACAAACCAACAAAUAUUGCUUAUGAAAUAUAGCAAGAGAUCACAUGAUUUGCAGCCAUGAAUAGGAGGGAGCUUGGGGAUUUGCAACUUUAUUAAAAAGGGGGAAAGGAGGGAAGAAUAUACGUCAUUUAACAGACAAGAUUAGACAUUCAAAACAUAAUUAUUAAGACUACUUCAUUAUUUUGUUUCCCACCCGGUGUCCGGAGCCCACUUUGGAGUUCCGACUAAAUUCGGAUCGCGCUUUGCAGGGCCCAUUCGGGGGUGGCGCUCCCAACAAAAUUUUCUCCAUACCCAGGGCUCGAACCCGAGAUCUCUGGUUAAGGGUGAAGCACUCCCACCAGUGCACCACUACCCAUGUUGGUACCGUAUCCCUUAUUUCCUUAGGUGGAAUGGAAUAUUGAUGGAUUUUCCCUCAUUAGCUUAAUGUGAUCGAAAACUAUUGUGUACCUAACAAGUUUGAAAAUAGCAGAAGAGACAACUAAUCACUAACUCAGAAUAUUGAUCUUUUAUAAUUCUAUAAUUCCGUGGAAAAAUUGCAUCAAAAUUUAAUGUAAUUGUACAACUUGGUUUCCUCUAUUCUGAAUGUACACUAAUUGUUCUCAUAAUUGGUUCAAUGACGUGUCUUAACCUUUUAUGAUUAUAUAAAUUCUGUGGAAAAAUUGCACUAAAAUCCUCAAUUGACUUGGUCAUAUAAUAGUUUCCCUCUUUGAAAAAGUAUUGUGAAAAACAGAAGAAGAGAUGUUGAUGGAAAGUUGGACAAAAUCAUCAUAUAUCUAUCAUUUUGGCCUUAUACUAAAUUAUAUAUUAUUAUAUUUAUAUAUUAUUAAAAGUGGAAAGCUCUUGUCUUCAAAGUUGAUUUACCAUUUUGCUCUUAUAUUAAAUUAAUUUUUUUAUAAAAUAAUUUUUCUUUACACCAUAAUUAAAAAAAAUCAAUUAAAUUAGUUUUCAAUANNNNNNNNNNNNNNNNNNNNNNNNNNNNNNNNNNNNNNNNNNNNNNNNNNNNNNNNNNNNNNNNNNNNNNNNNNNNNNNNNNNNNNNNNNNNNNNNNNNNNNNNNNNNNNNNNNNNNNNNNNNNNNNNNNNNNNNNNNNNNNNNNNNNNNNNNNNNNNNNNNNNNNNNNNNNNNNNNNNNNNNNNNNNNNNNNNNNNNNNNNNNNNNNNNNNNNNNNNNNNNNNNNNNNNNNNNNNNNNNNNNNNNNNNNNNNNNNNNNNNNNNNNNNNNNNNNNNNNNNNNNNNNNNNNNNNNNNNNNNNNNNNNNNNNNNNNNNNNNNNNNNNNNNNNNNNNNNNNNNNNNNNNNNNNNNNNNNNNNNNNNNNNNNNNNNNNNNNNNNNNNNNNNNNNNNNNNUCUUUGCAUUUAAUAAUUAUAAUAACCAUAACUUUAUAUGAAACGUUGGUGGUUCAAUUAUUUAAUUGUUACGUUAACCAAUGGCCAACUUCUCAUUGCUACAGUAAGUACAAAGAAGUUGAAAAGUUGAAUUGAAUAUUAAUUAGUAAAUUAAUUCAUUAGUAAAUAAAUGAAAGGAAAUUUCAAAGGUCUAGGAAAAAAUAUUAUAUAAAGGCUAAACGAGUUCACUAAUUUCCCAUCUGCUCUUUGUAACUUUUGAGAUUGAAUGCAAAUCAUUUUAACUUCGAUUUCAUUUUUUCCCUUUUCUUUUUAUAUCCUUUGAUAGUUUGCAUAUAUAAAAGAAGAGAUGGGAGUAUGUAAGAUUGUUUUUUAUGCCUUCUAAUAGUUUGCAUAAAAGAAGAGAUGAGAAGUAUGUAAGAUUAUUGAUGCCAAAUUAGAGUAGCUGUCAUAUUCAAUUUUUACUACUCUUGAAUUAUCAGCUAUAAUAUAAUCUUCCGAGAAAUUAUGAUCAAAAUCACCAUCUCUCCUCCCUUUCAACUAUCAGUAUUACACCGUUUAUACUAGUUUUGUAAAAAAUUUAAAACAUACUAUUUUGGUGAAUUGAUUUAAACAAUGGCUUAUUUUGGUCAAAAUUUUGAUUUCUCCGGAAGGUUGAUCAUAGUUGACAUAAAUGAAUUCAUUGUUAUAGUAUAAUCUGAUUACAAUUCUUUAAGAUACAAAGAUAUUAUACUCUCUACAAAUAAGUUAUUUCAUGAUAUAAAGAAAUGGUGUUAUUUGAAUGCGUUGAUUGAUGCUCCUCUUCACGUUGAUUACUGGCUAUAACCUUUUAUCAUCAUUGCAAUAUUCAACUUUAACUUGAAUUAUUACUUGAAAAGAACUCAUUAAUCUUUUUUGUGUAUGCAUGGCAUAUUUGGUUAAUUAGAAUUACAAUACUUUGAUUUCACAUGUAUUGGAAUUUCAUUUGUUUCCAUGCACAAUUGUUAAGCUUAUAACAAUUAGCUUUAAAUUUUUAAUUAGCAUAUAUUAUUUGCGUUUUGUAAAUUUUAACGAGAAUUGUUUUAAAUAUCAUAUCUAAGUUUUUUGUUUAAAUAUUUCAGAUUCAUUGUUUUGCUAUUUGGUGUGAGCAUCACAAUUCAUUAUUCAAUUAUUAUGUCAUGAAAUUUAUUACUUAAUGUUAUUAGGUGCAAAUAUUUUGCUUAUAAAGAAGUAUUAGUAUUAAAUAUUUGCACCUAAUAACAUUAAGUAAUAAAUUUCAUGACAUAAUAAUUGAAUAAUGAAUUGUGAUGCUCACACCAAAUAGCAAAACAAUGAAUCUGAAAUAUUUAAACAAAAAACUUAGAUAUGAUAUUUAAAAAAUCAUUUAGUGCUCAACGAAGAAGUCAUUCAAAUUGGAUGAGUGUUACAUUCAUCAAUUUUAGUUUGUACUUUUUUUUGUUAUUGAUUACACUAUGGUUUUAAUAUAACUUAUAUCGUGUAUACUACUUGCUUGAGACACACGUGCAACGUACGUGUUCAGAAACUAGUAUAUCUAUAAAAGCAAACGACAGAAAACUGUGAUCCUUCAAUACAAUAAGUUGAUUACUCAGUUUUCUUUGCUUAUGCAUCAUUUUUUAAUUUGAUCACUACACCUUUAUCCUGAGUUGAGGGUCUACGAAAACAGCCUCUCACUACACCUCUUCAUAUUUGAACGGUAUCAUAUAGAUGAAAUUUCCCUCAUUAACUUAAUGUGAAAAGUCUUUUGAAAAACAACUAAUCGGAAAUUAUUUCUCAUAAAAUUUCUCUACAGGUGUAGUGAUCUUCACCAAGUUAUUCAAAACAUAUAGGAAAUUAAGACGAGUUAAUACAUCAGAUGGUCACUCAACUAUGCACUAUUUUCUCAGAAAGUCACUCAACUUUGGUUUUAAACUUAAAAGUCACUCAACUAUGAGUUUUUUUCUCAGAAAGUCACUCAAAAAUACAUGUUUAGUAGCGAUUAAGCUAUAGCCGUUAAUUAAUUACCUCUAAAGAUCAUUUUUGAUGUAGUGUAGAUCACUACAUCUUUAUCUUGAGUCGAGGGUGCACUACUAGAAAACUGUAAAUUACCUGGGAAUUUCAUUUGGGGAUUAUUUUUGCAGAAAUUUUCUAUGAAUUUUCAUGCGGAAAUAUGAAAUUCCUAAAUCUAGACUUCUCUACAUGCGAAAAAUAAUUUCCCAGAAAAAUUGGUAGGUAACUUUUGCGCCAUUUUUACAAAAUUAUUACCUGGAGAAUUAUUUGGGAAAAAUAAUUUCCAAGUAGCAUUUUCAUAGGUAAAUUUGCAAGUAUUAAAAAAUUAAUUUUUUAGUAUGUUUGCAAGAAAAUUCCUAGAAAAACCUAUUUGCAGAUUUAGCUAAAAAUAAUUACUUGAAAAUUUAUUUGCAAAUAAUUUUAUACGUGUUAUUACCUGGGGAUUGAUGUUCUACAAAUUUUGUUGGGAAUUUAUUUCUUGAGGAUUUACUUGGGAAUUUUUCUUACUUGGAGAAUUACUUGGGGAUUUUAUUGUUGCGAAUUUGGUUGAAGAUUUGUAUAGGAAUGCAUACUUGAAUUUUUUUAAAUACAAUUUAAUUGGAAGUAUUUUCUUGGAAUCUAAGGAUUUUUUUAUUUGGAGUCUUCAAGAAAUAUUUCUUUAAAAUAUAUUUAACAAAAUCUAAAACUAUAAUAAUAUAAAAAUAACAAUGACAUUAGAAAGAAUUUUAUUGUUAAAUAUAUACUCUACUUUUAGAUUAAAUAAAUUAUUAUACAAUAAUAUUAAUCUAACACUAUAUUGGAACAUUACCACAAAUGUCAUGAACAAUAUUUUUAACUUAUAUAUAGUUACAAUAUUUAGUCCUAAAAACCAAUGAUGCGAUUUUAUUUUUUUGAAAGAUACAAAGCAUUAAAAUUAUAUGGCUAGUUAUUUAUCCUUAGAAAAAUAACUAUCAUAAAUAUAUUUAUUUUUUAUUAGAUAUUACUUUAUAUUAAAUUUCGUAUUUUUGAAUAAGUCAAUCACUGUUUAAGUAGAGUAAAAUUAAAUUAUAUACAUUAUUAAUGUGAAUUUUAAUCAACCCCUAGUUGAUAGAAUUAUAUUAAAUGAAAAAUACAUAAUUUUUAACUAUAUAUCAAAUUUAUAUAUAAUUUUUUCUUACAAGCAUUAAAUAUGAUAUAAUUUCUCUAUAGUAAGUUGUUAAAUGUUAUUUAUUUGCAAAUAUUUAUUAUUAAGUAUGUUAAAAUAUAAUUAUUAAAAAAGGUAAAUUAAAAUUAUAAAACCACAAAUACCUAAUAAGAUGUACUAUCAAUUAUUGGUUAUAACUUUCUUGCACUUUAAUUUAACUUAUAGAUUUAUUUAUAUUUUCAAUUAUUUAUUUAUACGAACUUUGUAUGUAUAAUAUAAAUUUUGUCUACAUUUAAUAUGCUUAGCUAUGGAUAUUAUCUCAUAGAAAGUGUAAGCAUAAAAUUUUCAUGAUAUGUUGGGUGGUGGUGAUUUAUUUUAAAUAUAUAGUUUCACUUUUUAAGAGUUAAAUCAAAUAAACUUUAGCCAAGAAAUAGUGUUUAGUUAACUUUUUGUUUUAUUUAAUAUGGAGGUCGUUGUAAUAAUUAAGAAAUAAAAUAGUGUUUAGAUAAUUAUAGCAUUCUUUCUUACAUGACUACUUAUUUUAUUGACUUAUUUAUAUAUUGACGAUCAUCAUGAACCCAUAUUAUUAUUUUUACCUUUUUAUUCCUAUUACUAUUUUUAUUUAUUCAUUAUUGAAAUAUUCUAAAGCCUACCAAACGGUAAAACCUUUUGCAUUAUGCAAAAUAAAUUGUUGGGUGUUAAAAAAAGAUCAAAUUGUUUUUGGUGUAUUCUUUGAAUUACAAGCACUGCAACAAACAACUACAACAAAAAACAACUUUUAGCGGCAAUAAAUAUACACAUUAUUAAAGAGUGUUAAAGAUUUUGCCGGUAUUUUAAUAUUAUUAUAUCAACUUCUGAAAUUCAGCACAAUUAUUUCAAUAUCAUUGUAUAAUCUUAUUAAUGUUUUGAGUAAGAUUUGAUUAUUCUAACUUUAUAUUAUAUUUUUUCAUUGAAAAAUUUUGUUGUUUGUAUUCUUACUUUAAAGGUCUGCGUACAUCCUACCUUCUUGAAACUUUACUCGUAGGAUUACAUUAAUAAGUAUGUUAUAGGUAUUCAAUUUACAUAGGACACUUAGAAAGUAGUAUAUAUCUGUGUGGAUAAGACUGAUUGAUUUGUAAGAAGAACACAUCCAUCCUGUUAUUUGGUGAAAUCAAACAAACAAAAAAUGGCCGUGAGUCUGUUUUUCUUUUAUUCAUUUCUCUGUUUUGUGUUUUUAAUAAGUGAAUGCUUUUCUUCAUCCUUUGAUCAUCAUCUUUGCUCUCCCACUGAAGCUUCCUCUUUGCUUCAGUUCAAACAAUCCUUUCAAAUUAUGUCCAAAGAGUACUUUAGUUAUUGGUCUGAUGGAGAUUCUUUCCCGAAAACAAAGUCUUGGAAUGAGAGUAGGGAUUGCUGCAGUUGGGAUGGAGUCACUUGUGACUUAUUAAACGGUCAUGUUAUCGGGUUAGACCUUAGUAGUAGUCUGCUUUGUGGAAGUAUUCAUCCCAAUAGCAGCCUCUUCCAACUUCAUCAUCUCCAAACACUAAACCUUUAUAACAACCUCUUCAAUUAUUCUUCAAUCCCACAUAGCAUUGGCCAAUUGACGAAUUUGAGGCAUCUCAACCUUUCUCAUUCUCACUUUGGUGGGAAAAUCCCAACAGAAAACUCAUACCUUUCUAAUUUGGUUUUACUUGAUCUUUCUGUGUAUGGAUUACAACUUGAUGAGAGAACAUUUGAAACAAUGCUUCACAACUUCACAAAUCUGGAGGUACUAGCUCUCUCUCUUGGCGACAUCUCAUCACUGAUACCUGUAAGUAUUCAUCCCAAUAGCAGCCUCUUCCAGCUUCAUCAUCUCCACACACUUAACCUUGAUAACAAUUACUUUUAUCCUUCUUCGAUCCCAAAUGGCAUUGGCCGAUUGAGGAAUUUGAGGCAUCUAAAACUCUCUGGCUUUGAUGGGAAAAUCCCAACAGAAAUCUCAUACCUUUCCAAUUUGGUUUCACUUGAUCUUUCUUAUAGUUAUAAAUUCUUACAACUUGAUGAGAUAACAUUUGAAGCAAUGCUUCACAACUUCACAAAUCUGGAGAUACUUUCUCUCUGGUAUGUCAACAUCUCAUCUCCGAUACCUGUGAAUAUUUCUUCUUCCUUAAGAUAUGUGGAUCUUGCACAUACUAAUCUGCGAGGUGUUCUCACAGAGAGCUUUUUCCUUGUGCCAAACUUGGAAAGCCUCAAAUUGAGUGGGAAUGAUCUUCUCAAAGGAGUUUUUCCAAAGAUCCACCGGAGCAACACUCUGUUAAUGGAGUUGGAUAUUUCAUCCACAGGCAUCUCCGGUGAGCUGCCUGAUUCAAUUGGCACCUUUAGUUCAUUGAAUAUCUUGAACCUCGGAGGAUGUCAAUUCUCUGGUUCCAUUCCCGAUUCCAUAGGCAACCUAACCCAAAUUACGGAGUUGGCUUUGUCUUAUAAUCAUUUGGGAUAAUACAUAUAUUUGACCUUAAACUUGGCUUCAAAUUUUAACUUUGACCUCCAACUUUCAUAGUGCACAAACAAGCACUUUAACUAUCCAAUCUUUUAAUAAAUAAACACGUGAUUUUUGGAGCCAAGAGCGUGAAAUGCAAACGCUGCCACGUGUAUUAGAAAUUCCUGAUGUUUUCUCUAACCUCAAAGAGCUACGUACUUUACAUCUUUCUAAUAACAGCUUCAUCGGUUCGUUUCCCUCUUCAAUUUUAAGUUUGACACAUCUUGAAUACUUAGGAUUGACGAAUAAUUCCCUAUCUGGCCCACUGCCUAGCAACCAAAGCAUGCUUCAAAAGCUAACCGAACUGAAUUUGUCAUACAACUCACUGAAUGGUACCAUACCUUCUUGGGUGUUUAGCCUACCUUUGCUAUCUUCAGUAUCGCUCCAACAUAACCGAUUCAGAGGACUAGCCGAUGAAGUGAUCAAAACAAACCCAACAUUAAAAGAACUGCAUUUAAGCAAUAAUCACCUCAGUGGUUCUUUUCCUCAAUCACUUGUGAAUCUCACAAACCUUGAAACCCUUGGAAUUUCAUCAAAUAACAUCACCAUUGAUGAGGGUAUGAAUAUCACCUUUCUUAGCCUAUCAUCUUUAUUCUUAUCAUCUUGUCAACUGAAGGAUUUUCCACACUUCUUGAGAAAUGUAAAGACACUUCAGGUCUUGGAUAUUUCUAACAAUAAGAUUUGUGGUCAAAUCCCUAACUGGUUUAGCGGCAUGACGUGGGACUCAUUGCAGUUCCUAAACCUUUCUCAUAAUUCAUUAACAGGCCACCUACCACAAUUUCGUUACUAUAACCUACAAUAUCUUGAUCUGAAAUUUAACUUCCUUCAGGGGUCACUACCUUUAUCCAUUUGUAACAUGAGGAAACUUAUCUUAUUAGAUUUAUCACACAACUACUUCAGUGACUCAGUUCCACAUUGCUUGGGAAUCAUGGCUUCACUAACGGUGCUGAACUUAAGAAAGAACAACUUCACAGGUAGUCUUCCUCCAUUAUGUGCACAGAGCACUUCAUUGAGUACCAUUGUCGUAAAUGGCAAUCGAUUUGAAGGACCUGUUCCUGUGUCGUUGCUCAAGUGUGAUAGACUAGAAGUCCUUGAUGUGGGGAACAAUGUUAUAAAUGACACAUUUCCAGCUUGGCUCGGAACUCUUCAAGAGCUGCAGGUCCUUAUAUUAAAGUCGAACAAGUUCCAUGGACCUAUAAGUACGUGUCAGACUAAGUUUUGCUUUCCCAAGUUGCGAAUUUUUGAUCUUUCUCAUAAUGAUUUUAGUGGCUCACUUCCUGCAAAAGUUUUUGGAAACUUCAAGGCAAUGAUCAAAUUAGAUGGCGAAGAUACAGGAAAUAUCAAGUACAUGGAAUCUAUGUCGAAUUUGCCAUUUGUCAGAUCGUAUGAAGAUUCAGUGAGUUUGGUAAUCAAAGGGCAGGAUAUUGAGCUAGAAAGAAUCAGCACAAUUACGACAACCAUCGAUCUCUCAAACAACCAUUUUGAAGGUGUCAUUCCGAAAACACUAAAGGAUCUCAGCUCACUUUGGCUACUCAAUUUAUCCCAUAACAAUCUCAUAGGUCAUAUACCAAUGGAAUUGGGGCAAUUGAAUACGCUUGAAGCUUUAGAUCUCUCUUGGAAUCGGCUCACUGGAAAGAUUCCGCAGGAAUUGACAAGGAUGAACUUUCUGGCAGUUUUUAACCUCUCUCAAAAUCAUCUCAUCGGACCAAUUCCUCACGGUCUACAAUUCAACACAUUUGAAAAUGACUCUUAUGGCGGCAACCUUGAUUUAUGUGGUCCUCCUUUAUCAAAACAAUGUGGAACGAGUGAUUCAUCACAUGUUCCUCAACCAUUGGAGUCUGAAGAAGAUGAAGGUGAGACAUAUUUUUUUAGUGGAUUUACGUGGGAAUCAAUAGUCAUAGGCUAUAGUUUUGGACUAGUUGUUGGAACUGUCAUGUGGAGUCUCAUGUUUAAAUAUCGUAAGCCAAAAUGGUUUGUGGAAUUUUUUGAUGGACUCAUGC